rnacentral:lncRNA from 1 species
GAGGGUUAGGGUUUUGGGAAGGAGGGAGGAGGAUAGGAUGAUCUUUGUGGCAUACCUGGAGAUCUUGAGAGCAUUGUUGAGGUAGGCCUCGAGGCGGAGGAGGAAGUCCCUGUCUCUGGUUUUUCCCGUGGCCGUUGGCUGUUGCGGCAGGGGUUUUGGCGGUGGUCCGGGAGGGAGCGAGCAGUAGUGGAGCUCGAAAGAUCAGUGCAGAGAGGAGGAGAGCGAGAGAGACUUUCCGAUUUUUGACGGUGGGCCCCUCCAAUGCCUAUUUGUCUGAGUGGGCUAGUGCAUAAUGACUUUGAUCUAAUAUUUUCAGGCGAGGAGAUUAUUUAGCCAAAGAGAAAAAGGAAAUUGAAAUUGAUGGGGUUAACUAACGCUCUUUUGUCUUGUGUCUUUUUUUCUUUCUUUCUUUCUUUCUGUUUGGUAGGUAAUUGGUUUGACUUUUCUAGUGACAACUUGCACAAUGAUAUUCUGGGCCCAUUGCGGAAUCUAAAGGAUCUCAAUGUGCUUAAUCUGGAGUCGCUUAAUCUCAAUGGUGUUCUCGAUGUGAAUGAUCUAUUCGCACUCAAGAACUUGAGACGCUUAGUUCUAUCCAACAAUAACAUAUCUUUCACCAAGUCAUUCAUCAACGCCACUACGUCGAAGCUUAUCAACUUAGAGCUGGAUUCAUGCAACUUGACGGAGUUCCCACAGUUUAUAGGCUACUUGAGCGAAUUGGAGGGGUUAUACCUACAACACAACAGAAUUCAAGGGACCAUUCCUAGAGAGAUGUGGAACAAUAGCAAAGAAUCUCUCAGGCAUGUAGAUCUUUCUCACAAUCUUUUAACCGGCUUCGAAAAUAACCAGACCAAUCUUUCUUUGCCAAACUUGGACUAUCUUGACAUUAGUUCUAACUUGCUAAAAACAACCCUCCCUGUCCCACCUCCCUCGGUCAUCGCAUAUAACAUCUCCAACAAUUUCCUAUUUGGGGAAGUUCCAACAUCCAUAUGUGAAGUGAGCUCUCUUACCGUGCUCGAUUUGUCCAACAAUACUCUAAAUGGCACACUUCCUUCUUGUUUGGGAAGUAUUCAUCCUUUGAUUUUAUUGAACCUUGCGAGAAAUAAAUUCGAUGGCAUGAUUCCUCACAUUUACUUAGAUGAUUGUGCAUUGAGGAUGAUUGACCUCAGAGAAAACCAACUAAGUGGUAUUGUUCCGAGAUCUUUAGGAAAAUGCAUAAUGUUGGAGUAUUUGAAUCUUGGUGAUAACCAAAUUAAUGAUACGUUCCCAUUUUGGCUAUCGAAAUUGACCUACCUAAAAGUAAUUGGCUUGCGGUCCAAUAAUUUCCAUGGUCCCAUAGAAUCUAAUCUAAGCCAGCUCAACUUCACCAGUUUACACAUCCUCGACAUCUCCAACAACAGCUUCAAUGGCGAAUUUCCUUCCAACUUGUUGAAGAGUUGCCACGCCAUGAAGGGCAUGGUUGGUCAAGAUAAUUUGGCAUAUUUGGAUAUUUUUGAAACACUUCCUCAUGCUUCAUUCUAUAUAAGUACGACUUAUGCGAUGAAAUUGAUGAAUAAGGGCGUGAAAAGGGAAUAUGCGAAGAUUCCAAAUGUCCUCAUCGCAAUUGACCUCUCCAAUAACAAGUUUGAAGGGUUCAUUCCUGAACUCAUUGGAGAUCUAGAAUCACUUCGCAUGCUUAACCUUUCAAACAACCUCCUCAAUGGUAGCAUCCCUCCUUCCUUGGCCAAUCUAACAGUGCUCGAAGCACUGGAUCUUUCCCGGAACAAUCUUGUCGGAGAGAUUCCUCAACAACUAGCCCGCCUCACAUUUCUUUCAGUUUUCAAUAUCUCUCACAAUCUUCUAUCGGGACCAAUACCACAUGGAACGCAAUUUGAUACAUUCGAGAGUAGUUCAUUUGCGAUGAAUAAUGGUUUGUGUGGAAGCCCCUUGCCAAAUAAAUGCACAAAUGGUGAGGAUGCUCCACCACCACCAUCAUCUUUCAAAGUGGAUAAUGAAGAAGAGUGUCUCUUCAACUUGGAUUGGAGAAUCAUGCUGGUUGGUGCCGGAGUCGGGUUUUCGGUUGGUAUUGUGAUAGAGAACUUGAUCAUUGACGAGAAGAGGAUGUGGUUCUUGUGCUGCUCCAAGAAAAUGGCCAAAGGAUGGAAAAAGAUGAGGAAAGCUCUGGCAGACAAGAAAUUAUGUAGCUAGAUAUUUAAUGCUUUGUCUUUAAGUAGAUCGUUGAGAAAAGUUAUACAUGCAUAUGUGAAGAUUCCGAUCUAUGUUUAUUAGCUAUAGUAAUAUGGAGAUGUUGUUUUCUUGCUCAUGAAAGUUAUAAUUCUUUUGAAGAUUCUAACCUGUGUCUGUCCAUAUAUGCAUCAGCAAUGAAUGAAUGUUCUGUUGUAAUAUAGAGACGUAAUUGAGAUGAGUAGAUACUAUUGAAAAGCCAAUUAAUAUACAUCGUGGACGGCAUUGUAAAAUAUUUCGUUGUCCAUGGAAACCAAGAAGAUUGGAAUAAAGGUUCUCCUGGUUCACAGGUAGAAAAAGCCUUGCUUUUGUUCAUUUGAAUGUAUAUUCGAUGGAACUCUCAUAACAGAGCAUUAGCAAUCUGUGUAGUGUCAAGAUAUUCAUGUCGGUUAUUUAUGUCAUUUUCGGUUGGUAGACCAAUGUUACACUAUGAUUGAUUACAAAUUGUUUCUUCUUUAAAAUGAACGAAAACAUGUCAAUUUCGAGUGUAGUCAUAUCAAGUUUGUGCUUUUCUUGGAAAAUUUGUAUUUGUGUUCGAGUCACCAAGGAGAUGCCACUUCCCAUGACAUUAGCUUGCAAUUUAAGUGAGUUACCAAGAGCUUUUGAAACUACUUUUUCUUUAAACUAAUAUGGUAUCCUACAUGAAAGAUAAUUUCAUAGAGAUCAUCUUAAGUUAAAUGUAAAAUUCUUCACUUAAGGAGCAUAUAAUUUAAAAAGUGAUUUAGUUUUAUGAGUAUAAACGUAAACACGAAAUCUAAAAAAUCAACGAUUUUAAAAGACUUUCUUGAAUUGAUCAUAAAAAUCCAAUUUAUAGGAUCCGAAUGAGCAAGCGCUAGGGAAGUCCCAUCUCUAUACUCGUCCCACCCCUGCUAAAGUGCGGGGAAAGGUUGGUUAUUAGAACGAUGAGAAAAAAGGAUUAUAUUUCUGCCGGCUCAUUUAAUAAGAAAUGACGAAAAAUAUGGCAAAAGAGCAGAGAUAAGUUUGUACUAAAUUAACGACAAUAGUGAUAGAUUGAAACUGACUCACAAACUUGUAUUUAGAAGGAGGACCUUUGUGUUUAAUUUUUUAAAAAUAUAACUAUUAUUUAAUGUUGAUUAGUCUGAAUGUUUAAAAACCUACACAUAUGAACUCUUACCAUUGGGAGGCCUUGAGGCGGAAGAAGCCCCGUGUCUUCUGGCAUGCUCUCGUCUGGAACAGUGCCAUCAUGCCUAGGUAUCAGUUCAACCUUUGGAUUAUGGCAAAGGGUAGGCUUCCUACCCAGGCUCUUCUACUGUCUAAUGGUAGGAUUGAUGGUGGAUCCUGUCCUUUUUGCAAUGAAGUGCCUGAUUAUAUGGACCAUCUCUUUUUUGGGUGUCGUGUCAUGGCCGACAUUGCUUUCUUUUGGGCGGCCAGAUGCAAUCUUCCUUGGCGCAACAGGUCUUGGGCUGAAAAUCUUCAUUGGGCCACUACCUUGCUGACGGGCAAGGAUUUUUAUAAGAGCAUUGCCCGUUUUUCUUUUGGGGCGUUUUGUCAUAUCAUUUGGAAGAACAUGAACAAUAUUCUCUUUAGAGAUGAGCCCCUUUCCGUCCCGGCCAUGAAGAAUUAUCUUUCCAAAGUUGUCAAAGACAAAGCUCUCACCUUCAGGAAUGUAGAGGAUUCUACUCGGAACAGGAGGUUGGUGUGCAACUGGGGUUGUGACCCAAUUAUCUUCUCUUCUAGAGAUCUUGAUCCUCCUACCUGAGGAUUCCUUAGUGCCUGGUGCCUCUUCUCAGUUUUGCCUCUCACUCAAGGUUGUUGCGGCCUCUGCGGGGGGGGGGGGGGGGGGGGGGGGGGGGGGGGUGUCUUUCCCUCAUGCCUGCUCAUUGUGUGCGUGUUGUAUCUAGCUGUCGAUUGUUUAUGCCGUGCCUGUGCUUCUAGUCUUUUAGGCAUUUAGCCUUUGCCGGUUGUCUCUAGCUAACGGUUGUCCUUGCCGUCUUUGCUCUUUCUUGCUUUCUCUUUUACAUCUUGGCAUCCUUCCACUCAUAAUGAUCUAUCUCAUCUUGAGUGUAAAUUUUUGGUGCCUCGAUCUUUUGUAAAGUUUGGUCUUGCCCCAAUAUACUAAUUAUUCCUACCAAAAAAAAAAAAACUCUUUAACUUUAUUUAAAAUCAUUGGAAAGGUUCUUUUUUUCUAUAGAAUUUUGUGAUGUUAGAAUACGUUUUUACUGAAUCAUCCUUUACAAAAUUAUGGGAAAAUUCAUGACUCUGAUAUGUCAUAGCGAUAUAGGAUAAUCUAUUACAAAAAUGAAUUGGAAAAUUCAAAUGCGACAUGUCAAGUUGGUGUUAUAAAAGGUUUGAUGAUUUCAUGAAAAAAAUAUUAUGCCAUUUCAUGUUAUUUAUCAAUAUAAGGAAAAAUGGUUUGAAAAGUCCUAAACUUAUUACACUUUUUUCCAAUUCGGUCAUAAAUUUUUUAACUCAUGCAAAUUGAGUUCUAAACAAUUUUCACGUUUUGUUAAUUAAAUUCAUUUUGUUAAUUUUAGCCGGAUAUCGCUUAUGUGGACGUCAUCCGUCCUAUAUAGCAUAGCUAGUGUGGACGCGGACAGAUUUUUCCAUGACCUAUCGAUUCAUAAUGAAAGUCACGGGCCUAUCCAUGCUUAAUGAAGGGCAUGUGAUAGAACAUAAAUUAAUGAAAUUUGUAAAGUAAUGGGCUGCUCCAUCCACGCGAAACUUUGGCUAGUAAAUGUUGGCUCCACGUUAUACUAGGGAAAAAAGAAAGGAAAGGAAAAAAUAAUUGAUUUGAAAACUUGCCAGGAAUUCUAAGAUGAACGGUGUGAAUCCACAAUCUCUUCAACGGAAAAUUCGACUUUUCGUCUCUUAAUUUAUGUGCUUUUUUCGAGUUAAGGUCUUGAACUUUCAAUUAAUCUUAAUCAAGUACAGCCCCUGCUAUCGCGACCUAAAUUUCGGGUGCACUACCUGAAACUAGGUUAAUGGAUUACUAAGUCUUUAAACUUAGCUCGGGCUCUCCCAAGCCCAUACCAAUUCGCGACUUAAUGUUCAAAUAUUUAACAUGCAAAAGAUUAUUAUCUAGGAGUCGCCACUAAUCGGUUUACGAUAGGUCGAUUAGACACCUAAGUAAAAUAAUGGGAGAAUUAUUUUACUCCUACGAACCAGAGAUUAAAGGUACGGGAACUUGGUUACACUAGAUUUCUCUAAUGCCCUUUUGGUACCAUUUCUUUUUAAUUUUCAAAAAUAUUUUUUGCAGGCAACUGAUUUAUUUUAACCUAAAUUACUAUCAUGAAAAUGUGGUGACCACACGGGUGCUCAUCCAUUAUUGAAACAUUAAAAUAAAAAUAAAAAAUAAAUAAAUUGCAUCACACAAAGCAAGCAAUCAUUUUUUUUUUUUGGGUUUUCUUAAAAUUGGAAUUUUUUUUUUAAUAAAGCAUGCAUUUUAACUACAUGACCUAACUUUACUAAUAAAAAAAUUCUAAUCAAAUGAUCCUAUUAUGCAAACUACUUAAUAUGCAUUUCAUAUUUUUUUGUAUUUUUCAGAAUUAAUAAAAACCCUAAUUAAACUAUCUAACAAAGGAUAAUUUUCUAAUUUAUUCUAGGGAUUAAUUUGACUUAAACCCUAUCCUAUCUUAGAAAACUAUUUUUUGAAAAAUGAGAUAAUUAAAAUGUGCGAUCAUUAUCUAAAAAAUUAAUUUAGGUGCAACCCUAACUUAUUUCUAAAAGUGCAACCCUAAAAAUAUAAUCCUAAUAAAAUUCUAAUUUACUAAACCUAUAUGCUCAUGCAGAAUUUUGAUUUUUUUUUUUUAUAUUUUCUGAUUUUUUUUAUAUUUUAAUUAGUAAAUAAAUAUUAAAUCUAAACUAUCAACAAAAAUAACGGAUUAAAAUAAUCGAAAAAAAAACCUGUUGUCUCAUAGGUCAAAUUAACGAUUAUUCUAACCCUAAUUAUCAUGACAAAGAUGUCAAAAUAAUUAAAAAUCUGAUCCGAAGUCUUACGGAUCAAAUUAAUAAUUAUAAUGAUUUAACAAUUAAAAUUCUAUCAAAAAGCUCAAAAAUUAAUAUAAUUAAAAAAAAAAUCCAAUAUCUCUCAGAUCAAAUUGAUAAUUAUAAUAAUUCCGGACAAAAUCCUUGCGGAUAAUGCCUACAAAAUGCACAAAUAUUAACAUUGACAAACCACGUUCUAACUUAAACAAUAAUAACGAAACUUAAAAUAGGUAAAAUAAAAUAAAAUAAAAAUAAACCACCUAAGGACUCAACGCUUCUCGCUGCUGGUGGAGCGGCUAUGACGUGGGCGCUCGAGCUGUGACGCGGGCGCUCUGGCGGAGGGGCGGCUUGCUGAACGGCGAGGGCGCGGGAUCGCGGCGACGCGGAGCCGGUGUAGGCACGGGUGAGGACGGACGCGCGGUGGUGAGUGGCGUGGAGACAGCGCGGGCUGUUGACGCGGGCGUCGGGGGUGACGAGCGGAUCGGCAACAGCAGGAGCGAGCAGAGGUCCAGGUGCAGGGGUGACGCGGGGGAGCUCGAGCAACGGUGACCGGCGCUGGGGUUGAUCGGCAGCAGCGGCGGAGCGGCGGUGGCGCGGCGAGUAGAUGUCGCGGGUGUCGCUUGUGGCCUCGAUUUGCAGGACGAUGGGCUACCGUGGGUGUCGGGCGCUGGUUGUCGCAGGGCAGCGGCGUUUGAACGGAGCGGAGGUGGCGCAGGCGUCGGCGUCGGCAGCGAGCUCGUGGGUGAGAGAGAUCUCCGGCGGCUGGUGGGACGCCGUGACCGACGCGGGGGGCGGAGCUGCGGACGUCGCCGGUGCAGGCGCGGGUGAGGCGGCGGGAGCAGCGAUGGCAGCGAACAAUGGCGUCGCGGGCUGCUGCAGGGGCGCGGAGGUGCGGCAAUCAGCUCGGGCUGCUGGCGAAGGGAGGCGUGGCUGCAGUGGCGGCACUCGAGCGAGCUGCUGGUGGUCGCUCAGGCGAGGGGCGGCGACCAGCAAGAUGGCGCAGAGGUGCUGGCCCGAACAGAUGCGCAGGCGGAAGCAGAGGGAGCGUCGGCAACUGCUGCGGGCGAGCGACGGAGAUGCUGUUGCGGUGCAGCAACGUCAGCGAUGUGGGUUCGCCGGAAGGAAAGGGGGCAGCCGCAGCGACGAUCGGGGUAGGGAGAGCGGCGGACGCGGGGAUGAGCAGUGACAAUGCUCGCGGUGUCGAGCGAAGGUGCAACCGCGGCGACGGUGCCCGGAGGCGGAGGCGCUCGGAGGCAGGGGCGUUGCUAGCUGCUGGGUCGGAAUUGCAGGUCGCCACGAGUGGCUGCUGCGACGCGGAGGCGGUCUGGGCGAACGGCGGCAGCAAGGAGCUUCCCCCCUCGAAGAAGAAGACCUGUUUUCCUUUUCCUUCUUUCUUUUUUUUUUUUUUACUCUUUUUCCUCACGAAUUCUCUCCUCAAGCUUUUCUUCUCUCUUUUCACGAAUUUUCCUCUCAAUUCGCCUCUGAAAUUUUUCGAAUUCACCUCCUUUUUCAUGAAAAAUGAGCAUCUCUUUUAUAGUAAUUCAAAAUGGUCUUUUUACAUGGCAUUUCCCGAGUUACCAUUUCUUGUCACAUUAAAUCAAAUCUGUAUGAUUUGGUAAUCAGCUCAAUUCUUGCCCAUUUUUCACUUGAUUUCAAAAUUGUUGUUGCAUUUAACAAAAUUCAGACAUCCAUCAGAAUUCCAUAUUUCCUUGCAUAAUUCAAUCAAAUCAGUUUCCCCCAUUUUCAUUUUUUUUCUUUUUAUUUGUUCAAAAUAUAAUUUUAUUUUUCCAAAAUUAGGUGUUAACACCUGCCACAAAUCCUAAUAAAUUUGAGCUGACGUCUCCGUCAAACCGUUCGAGAGUACGAAGUGGGAAAAAGAAGACUUGCUCUUGGGGACAAGUUAGUGCGAAAAUGUCUUUCCUCAUACUUUUCUUCCCUGAAUAUACAUACUCUUUUAGUUGAGCGAUUGAACAUUAACAUAUCUAUUCAGAUCCUUUAACUUUCAUAAUUUUUUUAGUCAAAUUUAACCUUCGAUACCAAUUUUGAUAAUUUUGAACUGAAGUGGUUGCAAGAUUACAUCACAGCAAGAUGUGGAAAAAAUUUGCCUUUGCAGCCAAGUCCACGCAAAAUUGGGUCAUUACAAGAUGUUUAGUUGACACGAGAAUUUGUGCUGAAAUGUCCCUCCUAUAUUUUCACCUUGUUCAAAAGAUAGAAAGGAACUAAUUGAAAUAAGUGAAAAUUCCAAAAGAACUCAAAGCGCCAUCAAUUUCUCAAAUAUGAGCCUAAAGUGAACCUUGUUUAGAGUUUGAAGUGCCCUUAUUUUCUCAAAUAAUAGCCUGAAGUGACCAUAUCGGUUUCAAAGAAAAACCUAACAUUACCGGCUAUUCAAGGGCAUUUUUGUCCUCUACGUUUUCUUAUUUUCUUCCCUUUUUUUAUUUUUUUAUUUUUUUUUUCUUUCCAUAAAAAUAACAAACUAAAAAAAGAUUAAAACUUUAAAAAAAGAAGAAGAGAAAACACAUAUUUGAAAAGAAAAAAAAAAGGCAGCCCUCUCGCCUGUGGUUGCCACCCCGUUGUUGAUGGGUCGUCGACCAUGGCUAGCAGGGUCACUAGCGCCUUGGUAAGGGAUGGCAAGCCUCGCCCAGACUAGGGGGAGGGCCGAUGACCCUCACCCAAAUUUGGGAGAGGGUUGCGGCUCCUUCCUAGCAAGCCCUCGCCUCUGGUUAGCAAGGGUUGCCAACCCUUAACAAGGCAUCGACGACCCUGCUACCCAUGGCAGAUGCUCCACGAGUGAUGAGGUGGCGACCAAAGGCGAGGGAGGGCUGGCAGCUCUACUACCUGUAAUUUUUUUUCCCAAUUUUAGCCUUUGUCUUUUUUUUUUUUAUUUAUAGUUUUUUAAAAAAAGAAAAAAGAAAAAAGAAAAAUGAAAGAAAAUAAGAAAAAGUAAAUGAUGAAAAUGCCCUUGACCAACUAAUAAAACCAGCUCCCCGGUGUUUGAAGUUAUGGUACUAGAGAGUAGGGGUGUGCAACAGGAACAAUCCAAAUUGGGAACUGCCUGAACCGGAACUGGACUAGACCGAUCAUCGAUUUUGGGCGAUUCCCAUGGGCGGCGGUCCAGUUUGCGAUUCCAAGGUGAGAAUCAGACUGACCAGACCGAUUGCAAUUGGAAUUGUAAUGGAGAUAACAACUUCACAUGUGUCCAAGAGGCCACCAAAAAUUUUAUUGUUCCUCUCUACUUAAAGAAGAAGUGCACUUGUUAGUUUCUUCUUCUAUUUGAUGCGGGACUAAGACUCCAAGAGCCACACUCUCAUUCCUUAUGCUCACACACACACACACACACACACACACUCUCUCUCUCUCUCUCUCUCUCUCUCUCUCUCUCUCUCUCCCCACUUGCAAGAGACAAGGUACUCCAAGCCUCCGAAAGUCUCACAUCGAGCAAAUACUCAAAGAUCAUAAGAGAGAUUGUCUAUAAAACCCAAGCCAAGCGUGACCUUUAAACAUAUCAUUCAUGGCCUUUUUUAUUAAGAUUGAGCGUGAAAUACAUGAAAUGCGAUCGAUGCUCACACAAGUGGAGUUUGAAUUUUUUACAUGUGGGAAAAAGUGCGAUCAUUUCUAUUGGACUACCAAGAGCCGAACUAGAUCAAUCGGUUCGGAGCACGGUCACUCUUCAGUAAAAAAAAAAAAAAAGUGGAAGGCCAGUUCCCGGUCCUAGGACCAAACGGGCCAGUCCCUAGUUCCCAAUUUUGGGAACUAGUUCUCUUGAUCUGGUUCCCGAUUUCACCUUGGAACUAGACCAGACUGGGAACUGAUCACCCUUACUAGAGAGCCAACUGCUCUUGAGGUCGAGGCCAAUGAUGUAAUCGGUUGUGUUGGUCCUGAUAUGCCUCUUGAGUAGCAUCAAGAGUGAGCUCUCUCCAACAUGGCAUGCUGGGUUAGCAAAGUGAGUAUGAAAUUAGAACACCGCGAUGAAAACGACCCAAGUAGAAGCAUGUGCAGUAUUGAGGUUGACAUGAUUAUGUUGUUCUCUUUGUGCUUUUUUAUUAGAGCGCGUAUGUCAGAGAGCAAGAAGAGAUUGCAAUGCCACUGCUCUUAUACUAGGCAAUUUUUGUGAAUAGGAAUUUUGGCGCUCCUUAGCCAUGCACGCAUACAUGGUAAAGGAUCUUAUUAUUAGGAGAUGGGUUUAUCAAGAGAAUUCCUAUGUUACUCUUGGGCUAUUCAGAAAAUGCUCAGCAUAUUGCCUCUUACUGCCUUUCCUUUAAAAUAAUUAAUUAAUUAAUUAAUGUCUAUAUGUAUAAGCAUAUUGAGGCAUCAUCAUCAUUAUUACUGCAGAAAGAGAGAAAUGGUCACACAUCCACAAGGUGGAAAUUUCAGGUUGAAUUUUCAUGCCGUGAUUGAUGGUUCAUGUGCAAUCAUGAUUGCAUGCUUGGUCCAUUAAAAUGGCAUCUCAUUUCCUUUUCCACAUAUAGACCAAAAUUGAGAGACCCGCACAAAGACUUUUACCACUUAUAGAUUGACAAACAAAAGUCAUUUUACAUUUUUUUUUUCAAAAAGUUAAUAGUUUAACAUAUGAUUGUCGUAAUCACGCAUUAUCCUUUUUCAAUACAAUACAUAUUUGAUCUUUGUCUUAUUUUCGAUCUAGUUGAUAAACUUGAAAUUGCUACCCAAAACCACCAAGGUGUUGGAAAAAUUUUGCCAGAAGUUUUCUCUUCUCCUUAUGAUCUUGAAUUCAAGUUUUAUUGGGAGCACCCUAGGAGUAAAAUUGCAAUCGUACCAAAUUGAUAUGAGGAAGUACAUUCUCAAGAUCGCCUAGAAAAAUAUGUAUAGUACUUCACUACCAAAUUACAAAAAAAAAAAAAAUGUUACAUAGAACUUGAUUUUUUUUUCUAGGGUUUGUUUGUUGAACUCAAAAGUCAAGUUGCAAUGCUGAAACUUAGAUUAAGAAGUUAGGUACAAAAAUAUUAUUAUACCCCACCUUUUGUUUUAACCCUUAGAUAUACACGCACAAACAGGGUUCUAGCAAAUCUUGUGCAGGAUUACAUUAACAAGAUGUGCGUGACUUGCAAGUUGAAGUGGCCGUCUCAAAUUCUCAACUUAGUGGAAGACUUGGGAGACGACUUUCGAGUCAAGGUAAGGUUGACAUCUUAUGCUGAACGCGGACUCAAUGAUGAAAUGCAAUGUCGACUUCACUUACAUGGCACACAUUCUAAUUAAUAGGUACAGCAAGUGCCUCAAAUUUUCCAAAGUAUUUCUGUGAUUAUUCCAUUCAUUGCUUUUAAUAUCAUUAAUCAUUGCGAUACACAUUUUAUUUUCCAAACCUUUAAUGGUUUCUUAUGAGGAAAGGAUCGAUUUGCAAUCAAAGAAGUGGAAUCACCUAAUUUACAUAUAGCAUAAACAAAUACCAAGUAUCGGGGCAUGAUCCAAUGAGAUUAACUCAACAGUUAAAGACUGAACAUAUGGUAUGAACAAUUUCCAUCUUCGGGUUAUCCACCUUAGUGUUGAAUCAUUUUAUUACUUAGUCCAUACAUACGAGUUCCAUGCAUUUGCGAAAUAUUUAUCUAUGAUGUACAUCAUUGUCAUGGAAAAGGGAGUACUAAGGAAAUGCUAGUUCAUUCAUUCUGCUUUAUAAGAAUGAGUGAGUUGGACCGAGACCAAAUUGAAAGACUAACAACUUGUUCAAAUCGUUUUAGUCCUCUUCAAAUGGGCUUUAUAGCUUAAUGGGUGCAAGUAAUCUCACAAGCCUAGUUGGUCGGUCGCUUUAGCACUACUUGGAAUGGAACAACAUUUGCAAUUUGUUAUUUAUCCUAUGUUCCAGAUGUUUUUUAAGGGGUCGGAGCACACUUAUAUCGGACAACGUAACUUGAUUUGUUUCGUUUAAUGUCAUUCUGGUUUUCCUUGAAAGAAAGGGAGAAGAAAAGCUUCACCUCCUGUGUUUAGGCAUUCAUCAUUCUUUUUCUUUUUCUUUUUUUCCUUUUUUUCUUUUUUUAGAUUAUUAUCACCUCAAAUGUUAAUUUUGACGUGAGAAUAUUUUAUUCUCGUUCUUCACUCCUAUUGUAUAACAACACUGGCAUUUUAUCCCGUGCAAUACCGUGAUACUUGAAAUAACAUCUUUAAGAAGUCAUGAAUAUUUACAUAUUUUAAGCAUGGAAGUUUGUAAAGUAUUGUCCAAUUGUAAUGGCAUUGUGGUACUCUACGCCAUCCCAUGAGCAGCAAUCUCCAUGUGACCCCAAUAAACCUUCGCAUAAACACAUUGAAAAUCUAUUUUGUAGGUUUUGAAACUUGGUUGAAUUCCAUCAAGGCAAAGCUCUCAUCUGGAUGGCAUGGUGGCUUGGCAAGUGAAGUGUGAAUCGAAAUAAGAAGGACAAAUGAGUAAGAAGUGCAUAGAGUAAAGACACCAUGAUCUCUGUUUUUGUUACCAAAGCCGGUCAAUAUAGGAAAAGGUUGGGCCUGACUGUGAUUUAUGUUUAGAGACAGUUUGGAAAAAGCUGUUUUUUGUCACCUUAGCAUUAAAGAUUCUACUACUAAUGUAAUUGCAGGAUUUUGUUGAAUAUUGUACUUAGCAUAAAAGAGAGAGACAUUCUUUCGGAAAUGUAAAAUGGGAGGGGCUAAAAGUUUGGUUUUUGUGGGGGAAUAGUGUUGGAGAAAUCUUCUUGAAGUGUUUUGAAGUUGACAAAACGUUUCCAUCAGUCUAGUCUGAAGGCUUGCAGACUCUGCUGUUUAAAGUCUGAAGACCUCCAGACAGCCAGACUCAAGACUCAAAGUCUAUCCUCAUUGACAGUCUCUAAUCCGUUGAAGAAAGGUUAUCCAGAACUGGAUGUUUCGUUAAGGUUUUAACCUUAUCAACUGGAGAAGAUCUCGUGGCUGGAAAAGACAUAACGGAGUCCUUUGAUUGAUCGAAGAUUGACUCGAUAAUUGAAGAUCCGGUGAUUGCCUAAAUAUUAUUGGAAGGUUCUACUUAUGGAAACCGAGAUCCUGAUUGUAUGGGCGAACAUGAUUGAUGGGCUAUCAACACGUUCCUUUAAUAGCUCGAACAAUCUUCCUAAUUGAUUCCGUCCAACGGGUAGAUUGGAGGAAUUUCUUUGGUAAGUGCCAACGGGUAUGAUGGCAUAAAGGAGUAUAUAAGGAAGACGGUCUUAGUUGUUCAAGGUGUGCGCGAUAGAAGAAUUCCAAAGUCUGAAGCUCCUUUUUGUUUAGACAAUUCCUUUGAGUGAAUACUUGUAUACAAAAGAGAGUCUAUAUUUGUGAGAAAUCUUGAGGAGGUGUGGUAGAACAUCUACACUGUGGAAUCAAGGCUAAACUGUGCUGUAACUUCUCUUUUGUUCAUAGUGGAAUCCAGCCAAUAGGCUGUCAGUGAAGAAGAGUGGACGUAGGCUUGAUAUAAGCCGAACCACUAUAAACCGCGUGUUCAAUUUUCUCUUCUCUCAGUCUUACUUUGAUUAUCGUUUGUCUCAAAUCCAUCAACUGUCUAGUAUUGUGCAAUUAUCGAAGAAAAAUCUUUUAUAUACCUAUUCACCCCCCUCUAGGUACUUAUACUAGCAAUAUCAAAUAGCGUAAUGUAGGUAGUGAAGGCGAAGUUAAAGCAAGAAGCAAUUCAAAAUGUAGCUGUUUAUCUAUUAAUCAUACUGAAUUUGUAAUGCAAUAUGUGUAUUGAGUAUAUCUCUUAUUGUCUUAGCUAAAAUUGUUAUGUAACUAGACGAGAGGAAAAGAACAACUUAAUUUAGAGUUCUUUCAUUGCAGAAUGUGUGGGGAGUAAAGCUGCAAUUUGAUUUCUAAUUACAGAGUGGGCUACAGGUAGAGUUAGUUUUUUACAUAGUAAAUAGUUGACAUUUCUAGUUAUGGUGGAAUUCUAUUAUUUUUUAAGUUUUGGUAAGGUGGAUAUACAAAUAAUAUUCUCUAAAACGCAAAUCAUUUUGUGAUUGUGGAUUUUAUGGUAUCUCUAGCUUUUUGAGGCUGCACUGUUCAUGUCACAUGUAUAUGGUAAUUUUUCUUUCCAUACAAUCAACACGACACUCUUUCAGCAUACUCAUGCCAAUUAGAAUUUGAUUUGUUGAUAAAUUACCUCAAAAUAAGAGAAAUUAUUUCACCUUCGAAAUUAAGUGAGUGCUUGCUUUAGAGAUUUGUCUAGUCAAAGAAAAAUUUAUGUUCUAUUUUUGCUAUGAUUUUCGUACUCUUUGUCUAAUGUCUCUCAACAAUGGCAAAUGAAAGGUCUGAAAGAUAACAAUUUUUUACCCUCUUCUAGUAUGGAAUCUUGAAAAGAUCUACAGACUCAACAUUUGUCAUAGAAUUUGUGUCCACCUCUUCCAUUUUACUCCACUUUUCCUCGUUGGCCCAUUAUAGAGCAGUUAGUAUCUUUUCAUUAGAUCAUCUACAAUCAUUGUUCCACACAUCACAUCAGUCUCGGCCUCAUCCCAGAUUGACAUCACUAUAGCUUUGUCUUGAAUCCACUCAUUACUACUCUCGUCUUUUUUGAAAUUCCUACUCGAAGCUAGACAUUUUCUUCACUAAUAGCAUGUGCGCAUUUUGGUACUUCACCUACCCGGUUAGCAUUGCAUGCAUAGGUGAGAUAUUCGCCAUCAACUGGAAAAUGAGGAUUUCAAGGUUUGGCAUUUCUCGACUUAGUUACUUGUAGAUAUCAAUGGUUCUUGCCAAUGUUCCGAAGAAUGUUUAGCUUCAUGAAGUUUAUAUUCUGAACACAAUCUCUCACUAACUCAACUAGAAACCCUUCAAACAGAAGCGCUACUCAAUGCAAAGCUUCGACUUUGCUCUUUGUUGGGCCUCCAAUCUAUCAACAACAGAUAUAUUUUGAACAUUGAUUUUCUCUCUUUAAAGCAAAAGAGAUCAAAAUUGACACUAUGUCUUUUCCUCUCCCUCCCUCCCUCCCGCCCUCCCUCAACCUUUCUUCAUCUCUUCCACUGAAGGGAGGGAUUUAACCUUGAUCUCUCCCUCCCCUCCUGGUUGUUUUUUUUUUUCCUUUUCCUUGCUCUCCCAAAUUUAGUUUUAGAUUUGAGAGCUUUGCUUUCCCAAUAUUAUAUCUGGGAGUUUUUUUCUUCGAUCUAAUUAUAGAUUUUGGAGUUUUAAUGAAUAAGUACUCCACCUCCACUUUCAAUGGUGUUCGCAACCGUUUUGGUGUCAAAUCUAUGCUUAUUUAAGUUAUGGCACUUCGCAUUGGCUACAAAAUUUGCUCUCACAAGUGUCAGAUCUGAUCUUCUUCAAUGUGUUUUGUUUUUAUACAGUGAUGGUGUUGGGGAUGAUGAAUCUAGGUGUACAUCAUCGAAUCUAGGUGCACGCCGUCGAAAGGCAAAGUUGUAACCAUAAAUGGAGAUCCUGGCAUGUGCUUAUUACUAAUGACAUUGUGUGAUUCUGUGAUUGACCACUGAUCCUUUUCGCUUGGAUGCAGUAACAGACCAUGAGCCUAUGAUUAUUUGUGCCAACCAUGCUCCAAUGAUAUGCAUUGAUUUCUAAUUUUUGGUUUGUUUUGGAAUUUUUUGAGCUUGUCUUGUUAUUAUGACUUUUGAGAUCUUCUAUUAUGUAUCAUUUUGAUAAUGAAUGAAAUUUUUUUUAAAAAAAAGCACAAGGGAUCCAUGUUUCGGAAUCAUAAAGUGAGGAAAAAGUAACUCGUAUGAAUAUCACUGGCCCUUGUCCUGUUACUUCUUUUGAAAAACACAAAUCCAUCUAGAAAAAAUGUGGACUUAACAACAGAGUCCUCAAUCUUGAUAAGCUCGUCCAUAAUCAAAGCCGACAGGUAUGAACCCUAAUGUCAAAUCUUGAUGCGCCCUUUUAGUAAAUGUCGUUAAUGAUCAAUCUAUUGACUUCUUCCUGAGAGAAUUGGGGGUGGGUCUCUCUCAAGUUUGAUUUUCUUUAUUCUGUGCAAAGAUGUGAAAAGAAUAUAAUAUGACCAUUAAGCCUAGCGGCAUAAUUCGAGCUCCGAUUUCCACUCUAUCUGCCCAAUUUUUCUUUCAACAUAUGCCCAAAUAUAUUUUAUUGUUGCCUAUAUAUAACUUUAUAAAGUUUUUCCAACAUAUGUCCAAAUUUUAUCUAUUUAUCACCAUGCUAGAUUUGUUCAACAAUAGUCUAAACGGCACGCUUCUUCAUGUUUGACAAAUACUGAGUGUUUGCCAGAUUUGAAUCCUAGGAAAAAUAAGCUUGAGGGCAUGAUUUUUUUUCAUAGUUAUACAGAUGGUUCGGCAUUGAGAAUGGUAGACCAUAGGACGAAUCGAUUGCGAAGGGUUUGGUCCUAGAUCUUUGGUCAAUUGUAGAAUGCUAGGGUAGUGAAUCUUGGUAACAAUCAAAAUGGUGAUCGCUUACCCUUUUGGCUAUUAGAUUUGACUAAGCUAUAAUUACUGGCUUGCAUUCCAGUAAGCUCAAUGGUCUAAUAGGAACUAAUUGUCAGGCCAAUUUAACUUCACGAAUUUGCAAAUCGCGGACCUUCCCAACAAUGGUUUCAAUGGCGAGCUACCAUCCAAGUUGUUACAGAUGAAUUUAUUGUUGAUCAAUAUGAGUUCAUGGAUAUUCUACAAAAAAUUUCUUCCGUGGGUUGGGAGAGGGUGACACAUGGAAUGAAACUUAUGAACAAUGGGACGGAAAGGGAAUACUCGAAAAUUCAAUAUGCCCUCACGGAAAUUGAUCUAUCCAAUAAGAAGUUCGAGAAAUGGAUAUCCGCACAAAUUUGGGACUUAAAGCCACUUCCUUCACAUGCUUCGCCUUUCAAACAAAAAUUUUCACCGGUCCGCAAAGCUGAUGACUGCGCUGGAAUCUCUACACCUUUCUUAAAACAUGCUCUCCGGAGAGAUCCCUCAAGAACUAACCUAGCUUCCGUUUCUUUCUUUUUGGGUAAGUAACUUAGCUUGCAUUCCUCAAAACAAAGCAAAGUGGAAGAGCACAUUCAUUGCAAGCCACAGUACCAAAUCAGAGAAAGAAUGGCAGCAAAGCCUAGAAGAAAACAUACCACUAAGGCUUAACAAAGGGAAAAAAAAAUAAGACAUCAGAGAACAAACAGAAAGCAAUAAUAAACUACAAAGUUCAAGAAUUAUUUGUUAUAAUAAGUCUCGAAUUUGAGCCCAUAAUUAUAGGAAAUUCCAAAAGUUGGAUUUCGUGGACGUCUAAUUUUGCGCUUCGGAAAUCAAGAUUUCUUGUUCGGUGAUAUCAAAUUGGAGUGGCACAAGAAAGAGAAAUACUACUUGCCUAUUUUGACUUGGCGUAGAAUUUUUUGACCAACUAGCACAAGACUUCCUCAGCCAGUGGAUAUAUAUUUAUAUAUCUAUAUAUACAUAUAUAUAUUAUAAAAUUAAUACCACGAAAUAUCUCAAAUUGAUACACUUCUAACAAAUUUAUCCUAAACUAAUUUUUUUGAUCAUAAAAAACUCUAAAACUAGUACAUUUGUAUCAAAUUUAUUCUCCAUUAGUUCCCAUUAAAUUUAAUUAAUACCACGAAGAUCACAUUACAUAUUAUGUUAAAGAUAGGGAUGACAUUGAAAAAAUGAAAAAUUUAAGAAUUACAUUAUAUAUUAAACUAAAGUUUAUGCUUUUAAUAUUUUUAGGGGGCGGGAGCGUAAUGAGAAUAUUUCCUAGAGAUUCGCGUUGGAGAAGCAAAACUAACAAGGAGGAUUUAUCAGAACGAAGAAUCUACCUGGAACAUCAUGUCGACAUAGCAUAGACAUAUAAGUACUCACGUCGGAGAGUUCCUAAAUUUCAUUACAUGCGGUGGUGCUGCAUGUCGAAGACUCAGUGACUCACGUAGUCAGCUUGUCCGAGUUGACUCUGACGUCGCCGGAGCCGGCCCCGCCCUCCUCUCGCCGAGCUCGCGCUCGUCACCUUUUCGUCUGCCAUUAACGUCGAGCUCGAGAACGCCGUCGCCGGGCGACGUCUCUGAAAUUAACCAUCCUCUGCAGAUUUUCCCGAGAAACGAGCGGAGGCGCGCUCUGGAUCGGCUUCAAAAUCCCUCCUUUCGCUGCGGCGGACACCUCGAAGCGGGGAGGCUCCAUUGCGACGCGCUCUCCGCAAGAAGACAGGAGUGAGCUGUGAGGGGGCGGGGAGGGAAAAGAAUUUACAAAGAGAGGCCUCGUUGUGUCCGCUGGAAGGGAUGAAGACCCUUUUGGAUUAUUACGUCAGUCGCUGCACAGUUGUUACCACUGCGAUGAUAUUGCUGCGGUCUCGCUCCUCGUCGCAGCGUCGGUUAGUACGCUCCUGGACUCGUAUUGGACUUCCAUUUCCGCCGCUGCAUCGGCCGCUUCGCCAAGCAUCAUUGAGCGAUCUGUCGAUAAGACGUUGGCGUUUCCCCUUCGGCGGCUCAGUGGCUCCGCGAGUCGCUCGCGAAAAAAUCGGUGAUGGAGGAUUGGGACCUCCGGUUGUCGCCUCCCGAGGUACGGGGUCUACGUUGCUAAUGUGAACUUUUCUGCUGAAUUCUGCUAGUUUGCUCUUCUUUGUCAUUCGCUGAUGGUUUAAUGUAGUAAUCUUUACGCAGUAUCUACAAAAAUGGAACGAGUGUGUUGUGCUGUUGCAUCUCACAUUGGUUGUGACAAUUUCUGUGUCUUUUUUUUUUCUUUUGAAGUCGGUUAUUUGAAGAUUUUUCAGAUUCGGUUUCCAUUGCAAGCUGUGAAUUUAUAUUAAUCCUUUACUACCCGUGCGUGUUUUGUUUCUCGUCAUGUGGCUUUGAGUUCGAGUGAUUAUUUUUCCCUGAAAACACAUGUAAUAUAGCUUAUCUGGCAGAUGAAGUCUCAGUAAUCUACGGUCUUCUGUGUUACUUGUCCACUGACCAAUUUUAAUAUUCUCUUUGGGGUCAUUGAGCAAUUCUAGUGUCGUACUUGUUCUAUUAAAAGAGAUCAACUAACCAGGAAUUUUUAUCCCUGUUGGUGGAUGCUGAAACUUUUGGCCUGAAAGGUGCGCGUAAGAUCAAUGAUUUUGAGAGAUUUUGUGUUGUUGCACAGAGAAUGCUGCGACACACGAUCGACUCAGGACCGUACGGGUUACUCUCUUGCUCAAGUAAAAAUGACAAAGCAGGGGUGUUACAGGAGCUAGAGAAGGGCGUGGAAGCAAAUUUUGCUGACUAUGAUAAGAGGACAGCUCUCCAUUUGGCAUCAUGCGAAGGUUGCACUGAGGUGGUUGUGCUACUCCUUGAGAGAGGAGCUGAUGUGAACUCCAUUGACCGUUGGGGUCGAACUGUAAGUUUUUCUUUCUUUCAUUUGGUACCUGAAAGAGUGCAUUUUCUGUUACUUAGCUGCAGAAGAUUUUUAUUACGACAGAAAUCAUAAGUUGCAUAUGAAGCUCUUAGUUGAGUAUCAAAAUGUAGCAGGCUUUUGUAAUCUCUUCAAGAAUAGCAUGGUUGGAUGUCAAUUAUUUUGCAACUAUCUAGAAUGCUUCUCACCUCUUUCAAUUAUUUUAGCCUGUUCACAUUUUCUGAAAGAUGCUCCUCAAUCUCAUAGAGAACUCCCGUCCUAUGAGGAGGACUGGAGUAUGUCAACUGCCUUUUAUCACCUAAACAAGCAUGAUUCUUAUCAACAUUUUUUACCUCGUGAUACUUUGUGACAUCCAGAUUUUCGGGUUCGGAUUUCGAUUAGAUAAAUUGAGCAUUUCAUCGACGCGACUAUAGUGUUUUUCUCUGAGUUGGCCACUCACGAGAUAACUAGACUAGCUAGGUAAGCUAUUAAGGACUUUAAGGCAUAUAGACUUGAGAAUUCGACUAGGAAUCGAUUUCUCGACCGUGCUCAUCUUUAGAGAUCAUUAUGACAUAGUUAAAAAUCGAAUUAAGAUCGGAGAUAUGUCGGUUCGACUGAAAUGAAUGACCGAUUGUGGGUGACUCCACUAAAUUGGAAAACUCUCGUUGACCGACACUAAUAUGAUUUUUCUGUCUUUUUGGUACCCUGUGUCCGUAUUUGAAUCUUCGAGAUUUUCACGACAAUCGAGAGUCGCCAAUGGGUUGAGUGGGUUCAUCAUGGCUCGAAGAAAAUCGACCACGGUUCAUUUGUCCUAAAAAGUUCUGAAAAUUACCCAGUAACCUAAGUCAUGCUAAAAACGCGUCGGAGUGAAAUUAACCGCCAAUCUGAAUCCGAUUUCAUAAAUUGGAGAUUCUGUCAUGUCACAGGUCAUUUUAGGAACGUCGAUUCAGUCUCAAACGAUUUUUCUGACAACCGAGACUUUUUGGGGAAAAGUCGUCGCCGAGUUGUUUUUGUGCAGAAAAUGUCGAAGAUGGGUUUUGAUGGCAAAAUUGAGAUGCAUGAUGGAUGCAUGGAUGAGGAAAAUAGCAAUUGAGCAUUGAGGUGGCAAUUGAUACUUGUUGAAGCCGAAUUGAGUGGAAUUGAGGACCGAUAGGAGACCAAUGGAGGGAAAACCUAUGUAAUUUCGUAUGCCCCGUGGGCAAGACUUAUGGACCAAUUCAAAUGGAUUCUAGAAGAAAUUUUGAAGCUGAAAAAGGGCAGUGGAGGCCAGCUAACUUGGUGGGCCAUGUGAGGAACAAAAGGGAUAAGAUUGAAGGGAAAUGGUCCCCCGAAAGAGAACCGGUCUUCCCCUCAUCCCUAUCUCCUUGCUUUCUCCCUCCUCUCUUCCCUUCGUGCGAUGCCUCCUGCUUCUCCUUUUCACCGAAUGCAGCUGCUUCUUCCUCCCAUCUCACUGCCACCUCCAUGGAAUUGGCUGUCCCACCUUCUUCGUGUCCUUACUUGAACGGCGCGAGAUCAAGGCCCCCAACCGAAGGCCCAUCAUGGACUCUUCUCCUGCAGUAACGAUCGGACGCCCGUUGCCCUUCUUUUCUUUUGGUUUUGUGCGUUGUCCAGCAACGAUCAAAGACCUCAGCGAAGCGGCCACACGUCCAAAGCAGCGUGUCUCCAUCUCCACGUCCGCCCGCCACUCCACCGAAACACCCAGCAGCAAACCGAAGUUCCUCUCCUCUGCCACUCAUCCAGCAUCGAGCGCCCACCAGUCAACCCCGUGUCUUCUCUGCCGGUUUGUUGACCAGCAGCAUCCACCGAGGACGCCAGCCAGCAGCUUCCUCCUUCGCCAAUGUCUUCUCUCUGUAGCUCACGUUUUCCUUCAGCCACGUCCCGCGAAGCAGCUUCGAAGCAGCCACGUCCCUCGGUCAAAGUCGUCCCCACUCGGACGGCCAUCCACCGAGUUCUCUCUUCUUUGCUUCUGCCGCGUGAAAUUCAGUCGACCAAAGUCCAGCUUCUUCAACUCCUUCGCUGCCUCUGUUGACCGGACUUGCUGCCCCGCACGAAGCCGAUGGAUCUCGGCUCAGCUCGCAAGAAGCCCGUGAUUUUCCAGCGGCCCAGCAAAUCCAGCGAAGUGGACGGUCCAUCGUCAACAGCAGCCCAUCUUCGGUCUUCAUUCAGCCCAUGGUUCGGCCCAUCUUCAACUGCAACAGCCCAAGUUUUCAGCUCACUUGAAGCCCCGUCACGGCAAGCUCAAGUGUUCGGCCCAAGAAGCUAGCGAAGCCCAGUGAAUUUCGGCCUAAGCCCAAGAAUGAGUUCAGCCCAAAGUCAAGAACAAAUCUUAGUUGGGCUGAGAUUUGUUGGGCUCAAGUUAAGGCCCAGUCCAAGCCCGCCAAUGUUGUCGAAAGCCCGAUUUCGGCCACCAUUGCGUCGCCGUCGCGGUGAUUCGAUCUCCGCUUUUUAUCGAGUGAGUUUUGCUCACUAAUGCCUUCUUAGUUUGCUAAUUAUACUUAAAUGUUGAUUAUAUUUAAUUAAGUGCAAUUAGGUGGUUAGAUUAAAGUAGAUUAGUGAUUAUUAGAUAAUUGUGAUGUAUGUUAGUCAAUUGGAUUGUGCAAUUAGCGAGUAGGCACGUAAUACUGUUUAUUGAAUGCUACUUGGGAUUUUUCCCGACCCUUAUCGGGUGUUAAUUAGGCAAUUCAGGCAUAAGUGGAAUUUUUAGGAAUUAAAUAUUAAUUUUCGAAAUUAAUUAUUUAAUUAUAUAUUUUCCGGAAAUUCAACUGGGAUGGCCAGUGACCGGGAUUUUAUGCUAAUGAUCGUGGUGUGCAGUCAGUUUAUUUAAUUGAGCUUUAUAUUGUGCUAAAUUGAAUUGAAUUUAUUUAUUUAUUUAAUUUUCGAAAUUAAUUAUUUAAUUAUUUAUUUCCCGGAAAUUCAACUGGGCUGGCCAGUGACCGAAAUUUUGUGCUGAUUGUCGUGGCGUAGUUCGUUUAUUUAAUUGGGCUUUAUUUUGUGCUGAAUUGAAUUAUUUGUGAAAUUUGGAAUUAUUCUUUAAUUGAAUAAUCUUUGGUUAUUAAUUAGAAAAUAACCGGGUGUCGGUUGACAGCACCAAAAGUGUUUUGGUGGACUAUAGAAAAUGUGGGAGUUAUGGAAAGGAAAAUAUUAUAUUUUGGCUAAAGCCAACCGUAUCCCCACACACGGCUAUUUUAUCCAGAAUGAUAAAAUAGGGAAUUGAGUGAAUGAUCAGAACAGUAUACCAUAUCAUUCUACGGGCUCUGAUAUGUCAUUUUAGUGAGAGCAGUAUACUGGUGUACUAUGUCAGCCUGCGGGCGAUAUGUCAGCUUAGCGCAAGCAGUACACUUUAUCAGCUUAGAGUGAGCAUGAAUGGUAUACUAUAUCAGUCUGCAGGCGAUAUGUCAGCUUAGUGAGAGCAGUAUACCGGUAUACUAUAUCAGCCUACGGGCGAUAUGUCAGCUUAGCGAGAGCAGUAUACCGUAACCCUAUCAGCUUAGUACGAGCUAUACUAUCUAUUUAUUAGCUUAGAGUGAGUAGUCCUGGACUAUGGUCGGACUUAUAGAUAGUAUUGAAAGUGCCGAUCAAGCAUGGGUCGUGAUGUCAUGUAAUCGACUAGGUCGAUUGAUCGAUGAUUUGAUCUGAGUGUGAUUUGAUGUGAUUCAUUGCCUUAAUCUGUUGUGUGAAUUGAUUGAUUGAAUGGAAAUGACCGUGAGUGGUCUUGUUGGUGUGUAAUCGACUAGGUCGAUUUGAUCGAUGCUUCGAUCGGUGAUGUGAUUGUCUGGGUGCCUAUUUGAUCUGCGCUAAUAUGCAGGUGGAAUCUGAGGCCAAGAUAAGUCAUUUGACUUAUGUUGUGCAUAAGCAACCCUAAGGUAUAUUAGUUUACUAAUCGGGUCUUAGGGGGUAGAACUUGCUAAGACGUGGUCUCAAUGGUUAUUGAAUAACCAUUUCAGGACCUUGAUGAGAAGCCUGAGGAGGAGGAAUCUCAAGAGGAGAACCCUACUGUGACAUCCUGAUUUUUCAAAUCUGAUUUCAAUUGAAUAAAUCGGGCAUUUCAUCGACGCGUCUAUAGUGUUAUUCUCUGAGCCAAUCACUCAAGAGAUAACUAGACUAUCUGAGAAAAUUAUUAAGAGAUUUUAACGCAAAAGGCUUGAGAAUUCAACCAGAAAUCGACUGCUUGACCGUGCUAAUUUGUAAGGGUCAUUACGGCAUAAUUAAAAAUCGAUCAAAGAUCAGGGAUAGGUCGAUUCGACUGAGAUAGGUGAUCAAAAUGUGAGUGAUUCCACCUGAUUGCAAAAUUCUCAUCAAUCAGUAUUAAAUUGAUUUUUUUAUCGUUUUAGGUACCUUGUGUCCGUAUUUGAAACCUUGAGAUUUUCACGACAAUCAAGAGUCGCCAAUGUGUCGAAGGUGUAUAUUAUGACUCGAGAUAAAUCGAUCAUGGGUCAAUUGCACCAAAAAUUUCUAAAAGUUACUCGAUAGACUAGGUCACGCUAAAAGCGCGCCGGAUUGAAAAUAACCGCGAAUUUGAACCCGAUUUCAGAAAUUGAAAGUUCUGUGGUGUCACAAGCUAUUUGAGUAACGUCGAUUCAUUCUUCGAAGAAUUUUCAGAGAUUCCGAGGUUUUUACGGAAUAUCGAUUCGGAUGUCGUGGAAAAAUAACAUAAAUUCGGAUUAGCCGAAUUGAAGAGAUUUUCGACUUGCAAACCGAGCUAUAUGACGAAGGAGACUUGUAGAAAUAUUGUGGGCUUUUUCUACAUCAAAAUGAGACAUCAAUUGGGAAAAUUUGAUGAAGAAUUGGAAGCCCGUCAAUUGAAGAAAUUCGGAAUGUGGCUUGGGGCUACAUUUUUGGCAUAAAAAAUUGGAUUAUUUGAGAAAAUUAUAUACUAGAAAGUAAUAGGAGAGGACCAAGGGAUAAGCUUUGUGGCUUUUGGGGGACCAAGCAUUAAUGAUAGAUAUUUGUUUGUCCCCCCCCCCCCCCCCCCCCAUCGGCAGCUUCUCGUGCACGAUUCCUCUCCUUCAUCUCCUUCGCACGGACGCCACACCACGAAGCAGCUGCUCUUGUUUUCUUUCCAUCUAUUCCUUCGACUGAGAACCUCUGCCGCACGACUUCCUUCACGAUUGCAGCCACGCACGUCUCCACUAUCAUUUCAUCCUCAUCACCCAUCCAUCUCCACCACCACAUCAUCACCAUCUAUCAUCAUCCCAUCUCCCACCAUCACCCCACGUCCGUAGCUCAUGCCUCAAGUCAACCAUUGAAGUUUAGUUGACUGAAGAAGCCCCACAACUCACUGAAGUCCAGCCACGAAAUCAAGUUGCCUCUCCACGCGUCCAAGUCCACCAGCUGAGUUCUCUUCGUUGACUCCAUCUGCCAAUUGCCGAUUGAAGCAGCUCACGGCAGAAGCUGCCACCGUCCGUGACUCACCACCACCGAAGUCCCUUUGCUCGAUUUCUUCAGCCCAUUAACGCCGUGGACUUCAUCCGCUCGAAGACUCCACCGCCAGCUGCUUCCCUGCUCCAUCUUUCGUUUGUGUCUUCGCCAGCGUCACCUUCAGCUCGACGCCAGCAAAGCCAGCAGCCCACUCCCAAGAUCGGCCCAGCAAAUCCGCGUGUCUUCACGGCCCAUCUUCAAGCCAGCAAGUCCCGAAGACCUGCAGCUCCGUUUCUGCUUCAGUUGGCAGCGCUCAGUCCAGUGGAUUUCACGGCCCAGCAGUUGGGCCCGUCCAAGAAACCAGAGAAGCCCAUUUUGUUCAACCCAACAAAGCCCAAGUGAUUCAAGCUCAGGCCCAAUUUCAUUGCAAGCUUAAGGCCCACUUGAAUUCAAGCCCAACUCAGCCUUUCCAAGCCCGCGAAGCAACUCAAGCCCAGUCCAAUUUCAAAAGCAAAUCUCAGAUUUGGGCUGAGAUUUGUUUGGCUAAGUUUAGGCUCGGCCCAAGUUUGUCGACGCCGCCGAAAAUUUCGAUUUCGGCCGCCAUCAAGUCGUCGUAGCGGUGAACCGGUUUUCGCAAUUAACCAGUGAGUUUAUACUCUAAACUCUGCUUAGUAGGCUAAUGACAUUUAAGGGGUGUUUAGAUUUAUUUUAUUAGGAACUAGGUGGUUAGUUAGAUUAAAUUAGAAAUGUAAUUAUUUAAUUGAGCAUGUUAGGUGGUUAGCAUGGUUUAGCUAAGGCCUAAAUAAAUUGUACUAUUUAUCUAGAAGGGUUCGGGAAUUUCGCCGAGUCCGUAUUAGUUAUUAAUUUAAUGAUUUUGGCCUAAGUUAGUAUUUGUAGAAUUUAAAUUGAUUUAUUUAAUUAAUUUCAGUAAUUAUUUAUUUAUUAAUUAUUUUUCCGGAAUUUAGGCCGGGAUAGUCGGUGAUCGGAAUUUCGUGUUGAUUGCAAUGGUUGGUUAAUUUCUGCAAUUGAGUGUUAAAUUAUGCAAAUUGAAUGCUGAUUGGAUUUUUGGUAUUUAAUUCCAAAAAUUGUGAAUUUCCAAUAUUUAUUCAGAAAAUCCUGGGUGUCGAGUUUGGACACCGAAAUUGGUUUUUAAUACUACAUGAAAUAGUGGGAUUUCAAAAAGGAAGAAUAUCAAUUUUUUUGAGGUCAAAUUGACUAUGUACCCACAUACGAGUAAUUUCAUGUGAAUUUCUAAUACGAAGAAAAAUGUCAGGUUUACCAUUUUAAUUGAAGCAUUUAAGUGUAAUGCACGGUGCCCUGGACCAUAUUUGAGUGAUCAUGUGAUGGUUAAGAGAAAUCGUCCCGGGCUGUUGAGCUGGACGUUAUCCCUAUUCGAGAUACCCACUGGACAACGGGAAGCCGGUCGUAGUAGAUUCUGGAUCCUAUGCUCCUUCGGGAAAGCCGUCUGCUAAAGAGACGUGCCGUGUUCAAUGGGGUGAGACGAUGCUUGGUAAUGCCAGAAGACCGCCGAACAUAGAGUAGGCCGUGCUAUAUGCCGAGAUCAAAACUAGGAACGCAUGAUUAAUUGAGUGUAGCGUUUCAGUUGUUGGAGCUUAUUGCUCAUGUUUUCAUGCUGUCUGAGUUAUAAAUUGUACUGACCUGCAGGGUGGAUCUGAGACGAGGUAAGUCUCAUUGAUUGUGUGACUGUGUGAUUAGGACACUUCUGGGCAUAUUUCCCUCCUAAUUGGGGUUUAGAGCUUAGACUCGCUGAGAUGAUAUCUCACCCCGUUGUGGGACAACAUUUUCAGGGUCGUCGAGCGGAGGACCUGGAGCUAUGAGGAGGUGAUCAAAAGCGUAGGUUAGUUAGGACAGCUUAUUUUUGGAAGGCUAGUCUUUUGUAGUCUUGUGGCCAUAGAAUUUUGUACAUGACUCAGUAUAUAUAUAAAAGCAUGUUUGUUUGUGCAUUUAUUGUCCUACUUUUCUAUCCCGAGAUGAUUACUGUCAGGAGAUUUCUUUUCGCUUCCGCAUGUGCAAUAAAAUGGAAAGAGUCCUGGGAAGUCGCAAAUUAUUAUCGACCAGAUAGGGAUGGGCACGCGCUCGAGGUUCGGGACGUGACACCUAAUGUGGAACCAGAUGAGGAGGAAGAUUUUGGAGAAGAAGAUGACCAUGAGGAGAAUUUUGAGUAUGAUCCGGAUGAGGACUGAGAUCCCAUCCAGUUUUGUCAGACCUUGAUUAUAUGUGGAUAAGUGUUAGAUCAGACUCCUGAGAAUAGUAUUGCAUUAUAUACUAUGAGGUACAUGUAAAAAGAUGUGGUUGAGAAUUUUCAGUAUGAAAAAUAUGGCCUGCUUUUCUAUCCCAUUGUUUUAUUGUCUGGGGAUUUAUAAUUGCUUCCGCAUGUGCCUAUAUAAAUGAAAGAGUCGGCGAUACAUAGUCCUGGGAUAUCGCAUUUUUAAAAUCGACCAAAAGUAAGGGAUGUGCGUGUGUCUGAGAAUCGGGGCGGUGACAUACUUAUCCAUAAAUAUGCAUUUUCUCAUUAUAAUUGGGUUUUCUAAGGAAGUGUUUGGAACAAUCAAUAGUACUUUUUUGGAGAAUUUACUUCUCCAAUUUGUUGUUUUCCUUAGCAGAGCUUUCGCUGAUGUCAGUAAGCUUGCAGCCAUUGUCAGAUGCCCGUAGCUUUGGUCACGGGGACAUUUCUACACUAUCAAUUAUUUCCAUGCAAAAAGUCCACCUUUUUCAGUGUUGAUAUUUGCUUAGGCUGUUCGUGUGAGUUGUUGACUUUGAUUUCAAGACCUCCAUCAUUUAAGGUUGAAGAAUUCUUUCCCUGACAACUCUUCUUUGGGAGAUUCUCCAUAUGAUGCUUCUCCUACUUCCAUUCAUUACAAAUAUUUAAACUUGGUAAAGAUCAGGACCUGGUAUCUUCCUCGCUAUAGGGUGAAGCCUUUCCUAAGGCAUUCCAUUCACAAGGGGAUAAACUCAAGGAAAGAACUUUGCGUAUCUUCUGCACAAAAGUAAACUUCAUAAAGGGAAUAAUUAGAGAUGUUCUAAGAUUGCCACUGUAUGAUCAAAACUUAGGAACCUGCUGGCUUGUCAAUUUGUAGAAUAUGUGUGUACUUCAGCCAACUCAUUGUUCGACAGUCUGCGGAUGCUUUGCAUAUAUGGUUUUACAUCCGUCAGUAACCUAGGGCACAUAAAUUUGGCAGUCCAGCCACAAUUUGGGCGGAGUGGAUAGUUUACAAUGUAUAUCUUUCAUCUUAUUGCUUGAAACAGGUCGGACUUGAUGCACAAAAUCCAUGCUAUGAGAUUGACUACAAUGAGAUUGACAUGGAGGGGGCUAUUCUAAUUGGAGAAGUAAGAAAUUGAUCGAUGUUUGUGGCCAACUUUUGUGAGUCCAAUCCUAAAAGAGACUGUCACUGCCUCGUCACCUUGGUGAACUAGAGAUUUCAUGAAAGUCUUUUAGAGUACUUCAUGUAAUCUAUGUAAUGCCUUGCAUUGACUUUACUUUGUUGGAUUCCAGGGAGUGUUUGGUGAAGUGUAUAUGGUGAAAUGGCGUGGUACAGAAGUUGCAGCAAAAACAAUACGUUCCUCCAUUGCCUCAAAUCCAAGAGUUAGGUUGGUUUACUCACGUGUUAAGUGAAAUUUCAUUCAAGAUGUGCUUGUUUUCUUGUUCAUUUCAUAAAAAGUUUUCUCCAGGAAAAAAAACAUCUCCCGUUACUGAAAGUUGAUGAGAGAAUCUGAAAAAUCUAGGAUACGAUAGUAAUGUUUGAUAGCCACACAGGUCUCUUCUGAUUAAUUAAUGUGUUGUUAAACUUUGUGCUUUUUACCUUAAUUGUGAACGGUGGAGUUGUAUCACAGGAGUGACUUCAUGAAGGCAUUGGCUCUUUGGCAGAAGCUGCGCCACCCUCAUAUUGUGCAGUUCCUUGGUGUUCUAAAGCAAUCUGAUCGUUUAAUCUUUCUCACUGAGUAUCUCCGCAAUGUGAGUCUUUACAUUUUAAUGGAGUUAACUGUAGUUUGGUUGUCUCGUUUUCCCAUUAUUGGUGUUGCUUCAGGGAAGCUUGUUUGAUAUACUGAGGAAGAGAGGAAGACUUGACCCACAGACUGCAGUUGCAUAUGCUUUGGAUAUUGCAAGGUAUAUAUUGUCGGUCCUUCUAUUCUGAAUGAUGAUGGUGAAGUGAUCUUUCUCCAAUUUAGCUGUCAUUUUGGAGGAAGUUUUUCUUUCAGCCAGCAAAAUUCUUCAAUGUUCUCCUUUUCUUAUCAUUUUUCAGCAUUUUGAUUUGAGUAGCCUUUCAAUGGUAUAAUUAUAGUUAUUUUUCUUUUUUGCAAUAGGUUUUACCUCGUGGAUCUGGUUAUGCUUGUGUUCAAUCCAAUCAACAGUUUCACUAUUUGUUUCCAGUGUCUUCCUUAGGUUCUUGAAUUGUGAUGGACUUUUAGCAUUUUCUUUUAAUUUUGGUUAGGUAGAGAUAGUUCCUCCCAAUGAAGAUAAAGUUAACGCCAGCUGAUAUUUUUGGCACCAUUAUGAAAUACUAACAUAACAAUUGAACAAGAACUGCAGUGAUGUUUGAAAAUUGAUAUGGGGAAUCAUGCUUGAAAUCCAUGGCUUCUGCUAUGAAAGCAUGUAUAGCUAUUCGUGUCUGGCUGAAUCUGUUAGUGGUUUACUAUUCACAUUAUGUGAUUCCAGUUCAGCUGAAUUCUCGCGAUUUAUACAGGAAUAUGAAUUAUCUCCAUCAACAUAAACCGCAUGCUAUAAUACACCAAGAUUUGAUGCCAAGGUAUUUUACUUCGAUUAAACUCUCUUUUGCAAUAUAAUUUGAGCAAGGAAAAGAAAGGGAAGAGGGGGGGGGGGUGUCUUACAAAAUAUGUUGCCACAGUGCAUGGGUGAGGGUGCCAGUGGUCUAGGUCUUCCCUCUCAUCAAAUGUGGGUUAAGAAAUGGGUUUAGUGAAUCAUGCUUGACUUUGUGAUUAGUGAUAUGGAGUAGCUGAAGUAGAGUCAAAGACGGAGUGAACUGUGAGUCGGUCAUCAUCUUAUCGAAUAAUGUGAUAUCAUUGUAUUCGGGUUUCUGUUCUUUUAUUUUUUAUUUUUUUGCCUGUGCUAAUUAUUGUAAUUGUUAAGGAAGAGAGUGUGUCUUACUUAUGCCGGGUGUUUUAAGAGUGCUUGCUGGUCCGUGGACGUGCAGAUAAAAGAGCCUAUGUUGUUCAUGAAGGAGAUGUUGGGGAAGGAGUGUACUUUAUCUGGGAGGGUGAGGUGAAUUUGCUUGCACCGCUUGUGUCCAUCCAUAGGAACGUGUUGUGGGGAUUGAUUGUCCUGCUUACUCUGUGCUAACAUAACAGGCUGAAGUCUCCAGACCGGUUGACUCAGAGGACCCUGAUUUCAAAUUGAGUAGAUAUGAUUAUUUUGGCCACGGUGAGAUGCUGAGUUUCUUCUCUCAUGUGUAUUGGGGAGUGUGAUUGCUUGUUGUGGUGUUUUUCAAUUCUAAUCUGCAUCACUGUAAUUGUGAUGUGUCCAUUAAUGUAACUGAUUGAUAGUAUAGGUUUUGAUCAUUUCUUUCUGGACUAUGGCUGAAGUAAUCUACAACUUCACUAAUUAAAGAAUUUGUUCUGGACAGCGACAUCUUUUUUUCCCUCUUGAAAUUUCAAGUUUAUUUGAUGCGCGCGCGCGCGUCUUCAUCUCUGCAUCUAUAUUUACUUGAUUAGAUAGGGACAUGAGAAUAAUGUUUUUUCAGACUAAGGUAUCAGGGAUAUGGUAUGAUGUGGGUUUAAAUCCAUCUAAUCUAUAUGUCCCUGUUAUUUGUCAACACUAGCUUUAGAAAGCCUGCUUUGGCUUCCUGAACUGUCUAUUUCAAUUUAUGAUCUUGACUAAAAUUUUGUUCUGCAUCAUGCAGAUAUAUCUCUUCAUCUCACUUCAAAGCUGAUUGUGGUAGCAUAUUUUAUGUUUAUUUGAAGGCAGCUAUGCUAAUCCUAAUCAGUAUGGGUACUUGAUAAUGCAGGCUGCAGCUGCUGCGUCGAAAACUGUUGACUAUCUAAAGGUUAUUCACAGUUUGCAUGUUUAUUUUCUUCUGAUUGGGGACCUUAUUAGUAAGUAUUCAUUGUACAUUCUUCAGUACCUGGUAGUGUAGUAUGCUCAUUGGCUGUUUCCUGUCCUUCUUCUUUUUCAUUGAACAUCUGUGUUCACAAAGUUUUUAUUGACUUUUUGCAUUUCUUUCUAAAAAUCUUGCAGCGGUAGUUAUGGUGUUACGGGUUUAUCUGGUCCUGUAACUGUCAGCUGCUAACAAAACUCCGUGGACCUUGUCAUAGUCUUAGAUCACCCUUUACUGCAAUUUUUGUUUUCAUUGAGUUGACAUGCUAGAAUAAAAAAUUGCUUUUGGGUUCCAUUUUACACUCUUACUGCAAUUCUAUGUCCGCUUGUCCACAGUGCAACAAUAUUUUUGGAAAUUAGAGAUCAGCAUUUUCUGCUCUUUUCUGGAGAUUUGUUCUGAGUCACUUUUGCCUCAUGCACAUUAAUUUAUGAUUGUUGUGCCAGUCUAUUUCUACUUGUGCACAGUGCAACAGCUGUCUGGAAAACAAGGAAAUUAGAGAAUAAGCAUUGUCUACUCUUUUUCUGAAAAAUUUGUUCCGAUUUGCUUUUGCAUCAUGCACAUUUAUCUUCAUUGCAGUGCCAAUUAUAUACGAAGUUCACCGACUACGUGAUGGUAAAAAUUUUGCAACCCGCAGAGUAGAUGCAAUCCAAAAAGGAACAAUCAUCUUCACAUUGGUUGCUUCAUUUCAGGUAGUGAUGUUAUCCGUUGGAUCGGCUAGAUAGUGUUUUAGUGAUGUUAUUGAAUUUCUUUCGCGAUUAGCUUGCUUGCGAUCUUGGUCGAGUUGGGUUCGCGUUAAUUCUUGUUUUUUCGGUUCCGGGAAGUCGCCGUGAUUCCUCGGCAUUCGUCCGCAAUGGAAGCAAUUCGACGUUUCGAGGAUGCGUGAGAUGUAGAAAUUUCGAGUGUGGUCAAGCGAAUGGGCAAGCUCGCGACCUAGAAGAGAUUCGUGGAUUUCUUCCUCCCUGUGUUCAAGAGAGUGACGCUGAGCUGAAUGUCGAUUAAGAGUUGAUUUGUCAUUUACAUUUCACAGAAAAAGGAGGUUUCAGUGUCAGUCUCGAUCAGUCUCGAUCCCUGACUUAAUUGUAUGCUUUAUCAUGAAGUCGUUUCAUUACUUGCGCUAGAGGAAAUUAGAACGAAAUCCAUAUGGGUAUCAUCCUAAGUUGAGAUAUAUCCUUGGAUGCUCUUUUUCUGAGUCUUUUUUUCUUUCAUUUGCAGGUCGCUUUCUACAUUGCUUUGCUCUCAAGUGCAUACCACAAUUAGGCGAAAUGCACGGAUGAAACUAAUCUUCCUUGCUUAAUUAUUCUACGUGGUGGUCUGCCGGUGCCUAGAGCGAUAGUCAAUUUUCAGUUUUUGUUGGCUUGUUUCGGAAGGUGUGGAAACGAUUAAAUUUUGUCUUUUUAGCCUAAAUUUGACAGUUCCUAGCCGAGGCACUGCCAUGGAAUGUAUUCAAAGUACGUCUCAAGUGGCAGCUGGAAAUAAACUCGCUCAAAUGCCUCUGAUACCUGGGCUUCCUGAUGACGUCGCUCUUUCCUGCUUGGCAAGACUUCCACCGAAGUUCCACAGAGUCUUGAAAUGCGUGUCUAAGCGAUGGAGAGAUGUAGUUUGUAGUCAUGAGUGGUAUUCUUACAGGAGAAAGCAUAAACUUGAUGAAGCAUGGAUCUACGCUUUGUGUAGAGACAAAUAUGACGUAGUUUCUGUUAUGUGUUAGACCCCAAUUCCUCGCGAAGAUGUUGGAAGCACAUUCAAGGCAUUCCCCCACAAAUUUCAAAGCGAAAAGGCAGGGGAUUUGAAACGCUGGGGAAGAAGAUUUACUUUUUGGGAGGUUGUGGUUGGGUUGAAGAGCCUACUGAUGAAGUGUACUGCUAUGAUGUUUCUGCCAACACAUGGAAUGAAACUACUUCAUUGUCAAUUGCGAGGUACAUGGUGAUAUUAAUGUUCUUAAUCUAUAAAAAUGGCCAUGCACUGUCUUUGCAUGUUGAAUCACUGCGGUUUUCUUUUUAUUUUCCUGGGCAUGGCGUUUCUUGCUAUCAUUUAGUUUAAUCUUCUUUGUAGGGCUUAGAUCUGAAUUUCUACUCGACGAAAGAUUGGCCUUUUUUCUCCUCAUUCAUCUAUAAGUGCAAAACUUUGCAGAUAACGAUGUUUUGGUAGAUUCUAGACACGUGUUAGGACAAUUCAUCUUCAUGAGGACACAUAUGAGAAUGUUAGGAAAAUAUGGCAGUAAAAGAACUUGAUAGACACAAUAGAGGAGGAAGUAGUAAGUAAAUAACCUCUGAAACUCUAUGCGGUAGGAGAGAACUUGUGAUCUCUAUGAUACAUUGUCACCCAUAAGGGAAUGAUAAUGAACCCUCAUGCUCUUGACUGGCGGUGGUGUUUCUUGCCUUCUACCAGUUGGGAAAUACAAGAACAAUAAAAGCUGGUGACUUGAUUGUCCGAUGGGAUUUUUUUGUAGACUGAACUUCCACAGGUCUCCUUUUUCUUUUCUCAUGCACUGAAGGUUAUAUAGCUUCUUAUCUGAUUCAGUUAAGCUCUUCAGGUGCUAUUUUGCUUGUGAAGUCUUGGAUGAGAAAAUUUAUGCAAUUGGGGGUUUAAGUACAAAUCUGAGUGGUCCCAAUUCUUGGGACACUUAUGAUCCCAGCACAAAUGGUUGGAUCUCUCAUGUGGACCCUAACCUCGUUCCUGACAUAGAAGAUUCUGUGGUAUUGGAUGGGCAAAUAUAUAUCCGAUGCGGUGGUUCUUCACUUUUGUCUCGUGUCUAUGCCAUCGUGUAUGAACCAUUGAGGGGCUCGUGGCAACAUGUGGAUGCUGACAUUGCGUCUGGCUGGAAAGGUCCAGCAGUCGUCAUAGAUGGGACUCUUUAUGUGUUGGAUCAAAGUUCAGGACUAAGGCUGAUGAAGUGGCAGAAGGAAAGCAAGGAUUGGGUGGUGGUUAAGAGAUUGUCACAGCUAUUAACUCAACCUCCUUGCCGACUUGUUGCAAUUGGCAAGAGAUUAUUUGUCAUAGGGAAGGGGCUUAGCACGCUGGUGUUCGAUGUGGACCAGAGUGAAAACGCAGGAAGAAUAAUGGUAGGAUCUUCCAUAUCCAAGUUGACUUCUGAUUAUGAUGUAAUUAGCUGUAAAGUUGUAGCACUAUAAAGUUGCUCAGGCUCAUUUAAAUUCUUGUUGGAUUGUGAUUUGACUCCGAAGGCCCCCGUUUUUAUGAUGUUUGUGGUCAGUAAAUAUGUCGGGUUGUUCUUUCUGAGAAUGGACGCCGAAGAAGUAAAUGUAUAUCACUUUUGUAAAUAUGAACAAGAUUGUUCCUGCUACAUUUGUUGACAUUUUAGAGAAAUGGAUAGCGGUUUUCAUGAAAACGCUGCUCUGAUCCAUCCUGCAUUUCCAAGAUUUCACAAGUUGUCGUAGACUAGUAGUAACAACCUCACGAGAGAGAGAUUCCGACCCAAAAUCUAAUACACGCAUUGAAUACAGGUGAUUGGAAAUAGCGUGAAAAAUUAUGAUUUUUUAGGGGGUGAAUGAUAACCAUUUUGUUUCAAAAAUAGGUUAUGGAAGAGAAAUAGAUUUUUUUUUUUUUAAUUUCUAUUUCUAGAAGAGUUUUUAAGCAAAAAUAACGAUUUGAUAAUGACACAAAAUUUCUACUUUAAAAAUAGAAAUUCGUUUUAUAAUGACACAAAUUUUUUUCUUUUCGGACGGUGGUGGACCGGCGACCAGCAGCAGCAAGCGGGCGACCGGCGGCCGGCGGCGGCCGGCGACCGGCGGCGGCCGGCGGCUGGCGACCGGCAACGGCGGGCGGCGGGCGGCAGCAGGUGGCGACCGGCGGUGGUGGUGGCGGCCGGCAAACGGUGGUCGAUGGCGGUCGACAGCGACAGAUGAAGGAUCGGUUGACGAACGAUGAGAAGAAUUUUAAUUUUUCAUUUCUAUUCCAGAUAGAGAAGUAGAAAAUUUCUACUUCUGAUUUCUAUUCCAAACCUAUUCAGAAAUAGAAAAAUGGAAUAGGUUUACCAAAUGGAUUUCUAUUAUAGAAACAGGUAUGGAAUAGAAAAAUUAUUUUUGGAAUAGAAACAAAGGUUUGUCAUGCACCCCUUAGUGGUUCCUACUUGUUUUUUGAUAGAGUUUGGUUCCCACUGUUUUAUUUUUGGGCAUGAUGAACGUAGCGUAUUCUUUCACUUCGAUACAGCUACCGAUUAAGAGAUGCCGGUACGAUAUUGACGUGAAGUUUGUCGGAAGAGGCCCUUCGUCUUCGUGCUGCUCUUGGAGGAAUUGAUCUGUUCAGAAGGAACAGAAGAAUUUCGAUUCAGAUGGAUCGUAACGCAUUCCGUGGGACGCGGUGACUGAACUUUUUAGAUGAAAAUGCCUACAAAAGGUACCUACGUGACAUGCACGCAUGCUGGCCAGCUACUUAUCGAGCACUAAGAAGGAUAAAAGAUGAUAUGAUACAAAACUUGAAGAGGUAAUGACACAAAUAAUUUUUGAACUUUAAUUCAAUGUAUAAUAUAAUCCCUAAAAUUUUAAUUUUUAAUGUAUAAUAUGAUUCUUGAACUUUUCAUUUAAGUCUAUGUGUUCAAUUUAAUCUCUGAACGAUAUAAAGAUAUUCAAUGCUAUCAUUUCAUUAUAAAUAAUAUCACCAUAUUGAACAAAUGAAAAAACAAACGUCACAUGGGCCAAGGAUGAAAAAGGCCGCUGAGGCCGAGAAGGAAGAUAAGUAGUGAGGCCGGUUCAUUUUUUUGGUUAAAAGGAUGUUUUUAAUGAGUAUUUAACGCGGUCAAUUUUCAGACGAUCUUGGUUUUUGAGAGUUUCAUCUGUAUUUUGACAUUUUUUUUUUAAUCUUCCGUGAGUUAGAAUUAUUUUUUUCUUUUGACGUCUCUCACCAUGCAUAUAUUAGAUUGCUGUUGGAAAUGGAAUUUAUGGAAAAAAUUUAGUGAGGCUUAUCACGUUGAUAGUGUCAAAGACUACAGUAUAAUUUAGCUAUGUUUCGGGUGUGCAUUUCGACUGCAUCCAUUACGAACAUAUCGUAAUGUUAAUAUUACCAAAGCACAAUUAAUGACUAUUGACGAGUGCCUUAGGGGUACUCUUAACAUUUUUCAAACGAAAAUCUCCCAAAGAUAUUUGGGUAGAUCAACAUCAAAUGCAUAUUAGUAAUUUGAAGAAAAACAAUUCUUUCUAUUGAUUUGCUGAUGGAUUUUACUAAUUAAAUCUGGAUUUUGGAAAUUGGAGACCGAGGCCCAUUAGUGUUGUCCGUUCUUUUAUUAAAAGUCAUGACCGGCAAUCGCACCGGCGGCCAGUGGAAAUAUCUAUUCAAGUAAGUCAAAGCAGUAAUGGAAAUCAACUAUCAUAGAAGCAGUUUUAUUGCGGGCCGAUCAAAAUUGAAUUUUGUGGGACUUUGAUGUUACAUCUAACAAAAAAACUAGCAAGUUGCCCCACUAAUUUAUUGCGGUUUGUCUUCAUCUAUUCUUAUCGUUUAAGACUUGGAUGUUGGUGUUAAAUUGAUUUGGCUAAGGACAAUCCGUAAGAGUAAAUUUUUUUUUUUUUACAUGGUUGGCUAUAAUGCUUCGUUUAGGUGCGCAACCAUUCAUGAUAACCUCAUCUAAGAGUCAUGUGACUCGGAUAUGGUUCAUGAUAUAAAUAAAAUGUAAAUGUGAAUUAUGCAAGUAGUACUUUUAUUUUGGAAUUGGGGUCAACAUCUUAUUUUCAAUGCGGCAAAGAAUUGAAUAGGGUAGUUAAAGUUCAAGUGUCAACAAAAUACAUAAAAGCUUUAUGUGACUAAGUGAAUAUAUUUUUAGCCCUAACUUGAGAAGUAUCUAUGGACUCGACCCAUUAUUUAUGUUUGCAUUUAUUUCCACACUUUUAAAGUUUCUUUAUUGGUCUAUGCACUAAUGACUUGAAGCUUGACUCAAGCGAAAGAGUAUGAUUACUUCCAACUUAAAAUAGGGGAGAGAACAGUUUUUAGAUUUUUUUAAUAAGAAUGGCGAAAAAAUAAGUAAAAAGAGGAGAGACAAAAGGGUACUAUUUAGACCGAUUAAUGACAUGAGUGAGAUAGAUUGAAUUUGAACUCACGAAAUAUAUUUAGAAGUAGGAAUUACUAAGGAAAUAGGCAAUGAUCUAUAAGAUUUCAGAAAAGACCUUUGCUUUCAAAAUUUGUUUUUUGAAAUUUAAGUAUUAUUUAAUGACACGAGUGAGAUGGAUUGAAUCUAAACUCACAAACUUGGAAAUAAGAACAUUACAAGUGUCAUAAUUUAUGUACUGUUUUCACUUAAGUACCAUAACUUUCAUUCAAUCACUUGCCAAAACUUUUAAAAAACGUUAACCCAAUUGUCGAAAAUCUGACAUGGCAUGACACUUGGUGAACGUUUAAAAAAAAUUAUGAAACUCAAGUUAUUGAUUAAAAAAUUAUAUGAUACUCAAGUGAUUAGAAAAAAAACCAACGGCACACAAAUAAGUGCCACACUAAAAUUAUGGCACUCAAGUGAUAUAAAAAAAAAGUUAUGAUACUCAAGUGAGUACCAUACAAAAGUUAUAGCAUUUGUAGUGUCCUUAAUUUAGUAUAUUACACUAUACAACAUCAAUGAAAAGUGACCCGGACCAGAGCUGAACGGCCUCUACAAAUCCCAAAGCAAGAGAAAUUCAAGAGGAGAGAAAUGACACGGACGGGAGAGGAGACAGAGAUUCGGAGACAUCGCAUCAUGCAAGCGGGAGCUAUGAGCAUUGCCGGACACCAGGAUUGAACCGCCGGAGCUGGAAGCUGCCAUCGUCGAGAGAGACGGAUAAGAUCGAACAGAAGAAGAGAAGGGGGAGGGGGCGGAAGAGAAGGUGUUGCGCUAAGCUCAGGUGAACUUCCAGACAGGUUGGAAUUGUGCUGGAAACUCGACCCUCAUUUUCCCCUUUUUUACUAGAAAAUAUACGUCAGCACGAGCCACGAGCACGAUGAGCAAGCGACGCCAAGACGAAGGUCGACGUGCUUUCUUGGGCGAGGGGAGGGGCUGGAAUCCGGAGAGAAAUGGGCCCGCUAAGUAAUGGGCCUUCAGCCCGCGAUUGGGCCGUCCUAAUCGAAUCCCAGGCCCGGUCUCGUAAUGGGAAACUGGCAAUUGUCCCUUUACGUCUGUCGGCGGGGGUGCCCAAAUGAAAAAAAAAAAAAAACUGGAAUUGAUCGAUUUGAUUUAUUAUGAUGUGGCUAAAACUAAGUCAAGGAACGACUUGGAAGAUAAAGGGUGUUCCGCGUUUAUGAGCAUGUGAAACAACAGUCACAUGUACUCGUAAAUAUAUGGUGAUGGACUGCCGUAGAAGGCAUUUGAGAGUUGAGAUUGUUGUACUUUAGCUUUUCCCGAGAUAUUUGUUUAGUUGAUUUACUCGUGUGUCAAAUUAUGGGUGGAUAAAUUAAUUAUAUUUACAACAACAAAAAAAAACAAUAAUCUAAUAUAUUUUAUAUUUGAUGAGUAAUCGGCCAUAUAAUGAGGAGUCAAUGCCAUACAAGAUAAUUAGCGACGGAAGUAGGAAACGCAGGGAGGAAAAUGAUCAUAGUACAAAACAGGAAAAAUAAUGAGGGGGCCAUAUUUUUGUUUUGUUCAUACUGCUUUUUGGUAGAUUUCGUUUUCAGUGGAGAAGCUUUUGUAGGUAACGAUAAGCAAUUCAAGCAUCGAAAUUUCAUUUUGCUUGGGCGAUUCAUGCACUAGACACAUCUGAAAAGACAUUGGCACUAAAUUUUGUCUAUAGACCCGUGUUUUGCACGGCCAAAGUCUUGAGAUGUGGAUUGAUAUUGAAAUCAUUAUUCUAGAAGUAAUACUUGAUCUGUUGAUAUGACGUAAUGGUGAAACUAAAUCAUUUGUGUUCACACAAUGUUGUCCAAACCACGUUUAGAUAAUACAAGAAUAACCUAACGUUUCCAUGCCGUGACUGAUGGUCCGGGUGCAAUCAUGAUUGCAUAAUUGGUCCAUUAAAAUGGCAUCUCAUUUAUUUUUCCACAUAUAGGCCAAAAUUGAAAGACCCACAAAAAUACUUUUGCCAUUUUGAAUUGACAAACAAGGGUCAUUCUAUAGUUUCUUUUUCUUUUUUUCAAAAAUUUAAUGUUUUAACAUAUGAUUAUACUAAUCAUGCACGAUCCAUAAAAUUAUUGAAUACAAUACGUAUUUGAUCUUUGUCUUAUCUCUAUUUAGUUGGUUCAGAUGGCUAGAAAUUUUCUACUUUCCUUGUAGACUUGGGCUUAAACCUUAUUGGGAGCACUCUGGAAAUAAAAUCCCAAUUCCACCAAGUCUAUAUGAUGUAAUGCACCCUUAAGAUCUCUCAACAAAAUGAACUCAUUGAAGUGCACAAAAGCGCCUGUGGAUACCACUUCACCGCUAAAUUACAAAAAAGGAAAGUUAUGUAGGAGUGAUCGUUAUGGGUUUUGUUGGUAGAACUCAAAAGUCAAGUUGCAAAGCCAAAACUUACAUUAAGAGGUGUGGUACAAAAGAAUUGCUAUACUUUAACCUCUCUUUUUUUAAACUUUUCUUUUUAACCAAUAGAUAUACAUAAACAAGUAGGGUACUGGCAAUUUUGUACAAGAUUACAUUGAGAAGAUGUGUGUGACGUGCAAAUUGACGCAGCCACCCCAAAUUCUCAACUAGAGGAAGACUUGGAAGACGACUUUCGAGUCAAGGUGCGGUUGAUGACUUACGCUGAAUGCGAAGUCGAUGAAAUUCAAACAUCGACUUCACCUACACGGCAAGGAUUUUGAUCAUAGGCAUGACAAGUGCCUCAAAUUCUCUGUCAUAAUUCUAUGAGUAUUGCUCUAAUUGCUUAUGUUAUCAUUGACGGUUGGCGAUACACCUCUUAUUUUCUUAGCAUUUGUUAAGGGGGAGGAUUUGAUGCAACUGAAGAAGUUGAAUCACAUAAUUUACGCAUAGCAUAAACAAAUACCAAGUAUCGAGGCAUGACCCAAGAGUUUAACUCAAUGGUUGAAGAAUAACAAUUGGAAUACAUAAUUCCAUUUUAGGGUCAUCCACCUUGGUAUUUGACUCAAUUUGUCCGUACAUGAGAAUUUUUUCCGUUUGCAAUUCACCUAUCUAAGAUGGACUUCAUUGUCGUAGAAAAAGAGAGUACCACUAGUUCAUUCAUUUUGCUCUGUAAGAAUAAAUGACUUGGACCAAGACCAAAUUGAAAGACUAACUACUCGUUCAAAUUGUCUUAGUCCUCUUCGAAUGGGCUUUUACUACUUAAUAGGCACAAGUGUUGUCACGAGCCUAGUUGGGCAGUCACUUUGGCCCCACUUUUUUUUUUGUCGGUCCCACUAUACUCCUACACUAACUCCACUCUCAGACUUUUGCCUUGCCUCCUUGCACGACGUGGGAGUCGAAACCCACACUUGAAACUAAAUCGUCAUCAUCCCAACCUUCCCUGAGAAGGUGGGGAUUCGAACCCCCCCACCCCCCCCCCCUUCCAUUUUGAAAGUGCGGGGCAAGGUUGGCUAUUAGAAUGAUGAGGAAAAGGAUUAUAUUUUUGCCAGUUCAUUUAAUAAGAACAACGAAUAGAUAUGGCAAAUGAGGAGAGAUACGUUUGUAAUUUACUAAGUUGGUACCAAUAAAUGACAUUAGUGAUAGAUUGAAAAUGAUUCACAAACUUGUAAUUAGAAGUAGGAAUUACUAAGGAAAAGUCAAUGAUUUAUAAGAAUUUAGAAAUGACCAUUGGGUUUUUUAAAUAUAACAAUUAUUUAAUACUGAACAGUGAAUUUAAAAAAAAAACCUACAUAUACAAAUUUUUAACUUCAUUUCAAAUCACUGAAAAAAAAAAUUUAUAGAAUUUUGUGAUGUCAAAACACAUUUUUACCAAAUUAUCAAUUAUGAGAAAAAAAAAAGUCCAUAUGACUCAACAUGUCACAAAGAUAUAGAAUAAUCUGUUAUGCACAUGAAAUGGAAAGUCCUAACAUGACAUGCUAAGUUGGUGUUAUGAAAGGUUUGAUGAUUUCUUUGAAAAAAUUGUUAUGCUAUUGCACGUUGAUUUUCUAUAUAGAGCGGAAUAAAAUCUGCUCUUUCCUAUUCGUUUUUGAGUUUGAUAAAUGCAUUGCUUAUCAAGUAAGGGUGAUCCUCCGUGACCUAUUGAUUCAUAAAGAGCAUGUCAUGGGCUUCUCCAUGCUUAAUAAAGGGCAUGUCUUAGAACACAAAUUAAUGAAAUUGUAAAAUUAUAGGCUAGCCCGUCCACGUGAAACUUUGGCUAGGAAGCGUCGGAUCCACGUUGUACCAGGGAAAAAAAGAAAGGAAAAAGAAAAAGAAAAAAGGUGAAUUUAAAAAACUUGCCUCGAAUUCCAAGAUGAGCGGUGUGAACAUCCGUCCACUAUCUCUUGAAGGGAAAAUUUGACCCUUUAUUUUUGUGCUUUCUUUGGUUAAGGUCUUUCCAACUUUCAAUUUAUCUAAUCAAAUCUAGCCCCCAGAACAGAUUCUUAUAAAUUUGAAUUGACGUGUCUGUCGGACCGUUUUAGAGUACGAAGUGGGAAAGACAAACUUGCUUUUGCGGACUAGUGUCAAAAAACGUUUCCUCAAAUGAAUAUAUAAGUUGAGUAUAAUAAUUCAGUCCACACCAAGCUUCUAUGAAGUGCCAAAAUGCGCGUCCUUAUUUUCAACCUUCAAAAGACACAAAUUUUGAUAAGUUCAAACAUAGUAUUUUUUUUCUUUUACAGUCAAAUCCAUGUUCUUACAAUUUAUCUAAUCAAGUCUUUAAAUUUGCAUAAGUUUUCUAUUCAACCAUGCCAAUGUUCGAGCACACAAGUCAAUGCCAAAAUAUGAGUCCUUAAAGAAUAUUAAGUUUGAGUGUAAUUAUUUAAUCCACAGGCGAAACUACAUCAAAUACCAAAACGCGUUUCCUCCGCCUUGUUCAAAAGACACUUUAAAAAAUCAAAAGAAAGUUUCGUCCAGGAAGCUUUUUCUUCUCCCGUCGUACAAGGGGUAAAAAGAGAUGGAUAAAAUAUAAAAAUUAAACAACUUUUGACUAGAAAACUUGCUUGGACUUCCAGAAUGAGCAGCGCACUGUUGUUUUGGUCCACCAUGUGCAAGCGGUAAAGUUUUACUUUUCCUCCUUACACUUUUUUUUUCAAUCGAGUUCUUGAACUUUAAAUUCAAUUAAUCAAUUUCUUAAACUUGCAUAAAUUUUCUAAUUGAGUUUGAUCUUUGGUGCUAGUUCUAUUAAGCUCGAUCUAAUGCGGCAAUCGAAUCAUUUUAGAGUAUGACAUGGAAAAAAAUUAACCUCCACAAACAAACCACCAUGGAAAAUAAUGUAAAUGUUUUCCUUUAUGGAAAUGCCACAGUUAAAUUGUUUGCCUCCAUGUACAAGGCGUUCAGAUAAAGAAAAGCUUCUUAUUUUAAGUCAUCCUCCGACCUUAUCCAAGGGUUGUGUCAACGUGAAUUAAUUGCAAUUGGUGUAAUUUCUUGAAAAAAAUUAUUCUCUUUGGGACACGAGGUCGCAUACUAGUCUCUUGUGUUUUCCUUUUUGGUUUAUUUCGGAAAUACAUUGGGGUAAUCUCCUGGAACUAUUAUCUUUGGGAAAACCUUGGUUUCCUGAAUAAGUUAUUAGUACGUAGAUGUCAUUUCUAGGUUCAUUUCCUAAUACAUCACUAGGUAAUUUUUUCAGCUUUGCUUAUUUGGAGACACAAUGAAUAAUUGAAGGUUCAAUGGCGGUGGCACAAAUUAUGUAAUGAGAGAGGCCUUUUGUUUCGCUAAUGUUCUUCAUUCAUCUAGGAAUGACCCCCUUGGAUUUAUUGAAGGAAUGAUCCCCUUGGAUUUAUUGAAGCACAGGUCUAAGUACUCUACUCUUCUCAGGUGACCAAAUUCUCUAGAGAUCCAUCGACUAAUGUUCAAAAAUUCUUCUUGACUUGGGUAAAUGCCAGAAGGCUAGAAUCCUCCUUUAAGACCUUCUUGAUCACUAAACGACGGGACGUAAAAUUGAUUUCGUUGACUGAAGGUUCAAAGAACCUACGUCUUUGGGCAGCUCAACACUUGAUGGGGAAGUGUUAUAUCAACGUCAGUGGUUAGGUUGGUACAACUGGUUUGUUGUAAGGAAGAAAAUUCUUUCUUGAGGUUUGUCAAGUUUGUCUUUUUCUUUUCUUUUCUAUGUGAAAAAGAAAUGGGAAGGGGACCGUACCAAUAAUACUAGCAAUGAAUGACGAGCACGGCAUGACAAAAUUUUCUGUUUCCACGUGAAUUUUCAAUUAUAGCUUUUUUGACAGAUGAUGCCUCAUCUAUGCUUGGACUCUGGAGUCUCCCCGUCAUUUCCGAGAAAGUAUCGUCUGGCCUUUGCAUCAGUAGAUCAAAGUCAUCCCCAUCGUGGAUCACAUCAGCCCUGCAGUAAAAUUCACUUAAUUAAUGAUUGAGAUAAUAUUUAUUGAUAUUUUUUGGUCAAGUUAUUGUUAUAUUGAGCAAAAUUAUAAAAAUUCUAAAUGGAUUUACAUUUAUUACCUAGUAUUUACACAAAUUGUGUUAGUCACGUGUAAGCACACAUGAUAUAAUUAAGAGAGAAACAUCACUACUUAAAAAUUAAAAAUGAAACCAUGACCGAGAAAAUACGGUUUUUAUUUAUUUAUUUAUGGUAAGUGUAGGGAGGGGACAGAUGUACAAGUGAGUUUAUCGGUGAACGUUGCUAAAAGUUAGACAUGAGUCCACAAAUGGGCUUAUACAUGGAGGUACGCACAGGCUAUCCAUAUGGAUGAACAAACAACUAUGAACAACUUCUGUACUUGAAAUUUACCCUUGAAGUUAUGAGUCAAAUCAAAGGACAUGAACAAUUACCUGGAAGCUUGUCGCCAAUUUCCAAUACGUCGCUGAAACAAAAGAAUGAAUACUUUUAAUAAAGUAUGAAAUAUAGAUAAUAAAAAAAAAAAAGAGAAUGCCAAGCCCCUGCUGCUCUCGGGCCGUAUAUAAUGAAAGAAAUGUUCAUGCGCCUAACAUCCUGCAGUCUUCAACCCAUACAGAAGGCAUACCUAAAAUCAGUUUAAAGUAUUGGGGUCCAGCACUAUGAAUGGCCAAGUAGCAAGAUAGUUCCAUUGCCAAAACCAAUUAGAACAUGAAUUGUAGAUAGAAAGUUACCUCAAAAUAAGAGAUUAUUUCACCCUCGGAAAUUAUGUGGACGCUUGCUUUUGAGUUUUGUCCGGUCAAAGAAGAACUUAAUGUACUGUUUUUACUGUGAUUUCUUUUGCUGUCUAAUGUCUCUUAAUAAUGGCUAAUGAAAGCUUGAAGAAUAGCAAGUUUUUAUCCUCUUUGUAGCCCUCAGUUUAGUGUUGCAGUCUUGAAUGAGGUGUGCGACUUAAGAUUUUUCCAUAAAAUCAAUGUCUUCAUGCUGCCCCCUUAUAGAGCCGUAUCUGCUCUUUUUAUAAAUUUGAAUCAAAUAGAAAGGUUUACGAAAUGAAAAGAUGAACAAAGAUAACACUAAUGCAGCAUAAAAAUAAAACUAAGCCAAACUUUUUGCAGAAAAGUUAUUUAAAAAACAAUAUGGAUUACAGAUAGCAAAAAUACAUUAGAUUGUUAAGAAAUUUAAUCAUGGCUCAUAUAUAUUUUGUUCACAUACAUGCACACGCAGAUAACUCUCUGUUUCUGUUCAUUCGUGCACAUGCGCACAUACGACUUUUUUUUUCUUCUAUGCCCUGCUUUUAUCUAAUAAAGGUGCAGUACCCACUUAUUUCAAAGUCUUUAUUUGAUUAUUCUGAGUGCACAUCCAUCUAUGUCAAUAAUAUAAUUUGAUCUUUCAUCUUUUUAUGUUCUGAUUGUGUUGAUACUUUUUUCGAUAUUUUUAUGUUAAAUUGGGUGUUUCUCAUUUCACACUUAAAACAGAUGUAUAGGUGAGUUUAAAAUUAGAGACACAUGAGCCCACCUAUAAAUGGCUUAUUGAUGGAAGUUUGCACAAGCAACCCAUGUUGUUGAACAAACAACUAUGAACAACAUCUGUACUUGAAAUUUAGCCAUGAAGCUAUCAGUCAAGUCAAAACGACAUGAACAAUUUACAUGGGAGCUUGUUGCCAAUUUCCAAUAUGUCACCAAAAGAAACGGAUGGAUUCUAUAUUAAAAGUAUGACAGAGAAAUAUGGAUAAAAGGAGAAUGCCAAGCCACUGCGCUUGUGCCCUAUAUAAUAAAAGAAAUGUUUAUACGUCUAAGAUCCUGCAGUUUUCAAACCCAUACAGAAGGCAUACGUAAAUCAUUUAAAGUUCCGAGGUCAAGCACUACGAAUGGCCAAGUAGCAAGAAAUUUCCAUUGCCAGAACCAAUUGUUGCUGCCUAUAAAAACCUUCUACGUUGCACUCUCCCUCGAAAACUCACUUCAGUAACAAAAAUAACAUAAACAAAAGCAGAAAAUAUGGCAGCCUUAUCAUUAUAUCUGCUGCUUACUUGGAUAUUCUUGCUGUCUCUCUUUCGUACUAGGUUUGCUGAGGUACUUUGUCAUGCGGACGAGAGCUCUGGCUUGAUGGAAUUCAAGAGAAGUUUCAUAACCGACACGACACAUCUGCAAUGCAUUCAUCCAAAAGUCCAUUCCUGGUCACUGGAUGGAAGUGGAGAUUGUUGUUCAUGGGAUGGCGUCAAAUGUGAUGAAGUCACCGGCCGAGUGAUCGCCCUCAACCUCAGUAGCAGUUGUCUCUCAGGCACCAUGAGUCCUAACACCACUCUCUUUCGACUCGUUCACAUGGAGUCGCUCAAUCUUGCUUUCAACAGCUUCAACUUCUCCUCAAUUCCAUACGGCUUCGGCAAUCUUUCAAAGUUACAAUACCUUAAUCUCUCCUCCUCUGACUUUUCCGGUGAAAUCCCUCGCGAUAUCUCGCAACUCUCCAAGUUAGUUUCUCUCGAUUUGUCCUCUUCUUCAUAUGAAACACUUCGUAUGCCCAACAUGGGUGGCUUCGUUCAUAACUUGACCGGACUAAAAGAACUUGAUCUUUCUUUCGUAAGCUUGUCAUCACCUUUCCCACCGAUGCUAGCAAAUUUCUCUUCCUUGACAUUGCUCAGGCUAGGAUCUUGUGAAUUGAGUGGAAACUUUCCGGUCAGCAUUUUCCAGCUGCCAAACUUAGAAGUCCUUUCCGUUCUUUACAAUUACAACCUUUCUGGGUUUUUCCCCAAGCCACGUUGGGGUUCUCCAUUGAAAUCCUUAUACCUUUCCCAUACCAACUUCUCGGGAGAAAUACCCACUUCAAUUGGAAAUCUUAGUCUCUUGAAUGAGUUAAGAGCCGAGGGUUGCUAUUUCUCAGGAUCGCUUCCCUCUUCAAUGGGUAAUCUUUCUCAUCUCACUAUACUGGACCUUUACACAAAUAACUUGCAAGGUCAAAUCCCUGUUUCCUUUGCUAAUCUUACCCAGCUAUCGGAGCUAGAUCUCUCUUACAAUAACUUCAGCGGUGAUUCUUUGGAGUGGGUGGUCAACUUGACAAAACUCACCAUCUUGAGACUUUCAGGUAAUAGUUUAUUUUUGGUUAUAUUAAGUGCAAUUGUGACAUGACGUCAUCUAUGCACUAGCCCACUCAAUGGACGACAAGUGGCAUUAUGGGGAGGGCCACCAUCAUAAGUCUCUCUUUGCCGGUUCGGACGGAUCUCUUUCCUCCUCCAUCUACAACUCCAUGGAACCCGAUCUCUCGAGCUCCGUCGCUGCUUGCUUCCACCUCGACCAUGACCAAAACCCCCGCUGCAACAGUUGCAAGCAAAACUACCAUCGCCACCUCAAGAGCUUCAAUUCUGGCAAGGGCCUAAGCUGGAAGGCCUUCUAGCUCCAUAAGUUCAGCCAGAUCCUGAACCACGAACAGCUUCUUCAUCAACUUCCUCUCCCUCAACUUCCUCAAUUUUUUGAUCGAAAGAAAAAAAAAAAACUUCCUCAAUUAAUCCCCCGGGACGUCGUGAUCUUGAUGGUCGGAUCGACGUGCAUCUCGUCCUCCUGCAACCUCCUCAAAUCCCUAAUUUUCAUAUUGACGCUCCCACUGUACCCGAAGAACUCGGCCUACACGCUGAUCGAACACGCGAGUGGUGGCCAUCGAUGAAGCCCGAUUUCGCCAAUCAAACGAACUACUCGAUGAUGUAGUAUGUCCCCUUGCUGUCAUAGGCGAUGGGGGAGAGGAUCGGGUCCUACCCAGAGUCGAGGUGCAAGGGCCGGAAAGCGUUCGCGUCCUCGACAACUAGGCUAGCCGGAAGGCCUUUCGGCUCAGGCCGACGCUGGUCUCGAAGCUCUUGAGACGGCGAUGGAGGGUUAGAGUUUUGGGAAGGAGGGAGGAGGAUAGGAUGAUCUUUGUGGCAUACCUGGAGGUCUUGAGAGCAUUGUCGAGGUAGGCCUCGAGGCGGAUGAGGAAGUCCCUGUCUCUGGUUUUUCCCGUGGCCGUUGCGCAUUGCGGCAGGGGUUUUAGCGGUGGUCCGGGAGGGAGUGAGCAGUAGUGGAGCGAGCAGUAGUGGAGGAGAGCGAGAGAGACUUUCCAAUUUUUGACGGUGGGCCCCUCCAAUGCCUAUUUGUCUGAGUGGGCUAGUGCAUAUUGACUUGGACCUAAUAUUUUCAGGCGAGGAGAUUAUUUAGCCGAAGAGAAAAAGGAAAUUGAAAUUGAUAGGGUAACUAACGCUCCUUUGUCUUGUAUUUUUUUUUCUUUAUGUUUGGUAG